ACCAAAUGAGCUGGGAGGAGGCUGUUGCUAGAAUGUAGGUGCCUGGUUACUGGGUUCCAAGUUCUGUUUGNUUAGAUUCAGACCCAUGUGCUCCAGCCAGGCCUGUGUGCUGGGCCUCCUGCUGAGCAGCGCCCAGCUCCCCUCACCCUCCUGUGAACAGUCCCCUCCCCCUUUCCAUUCCUCUACUGGCCACACUCACCUGGGAGUCAUUGUCCUCACAAAGCCUUUUCAUCACUACCAGGGCAAGAACUUGGGUUCCAGUUCCACAUGGGUCCCCAAGACUCCAAUAAGGUGGUCUUUCUCCCCCUCCAAGGAUGAGUGGUCCCUUAGGGCACCAUUCUGUUGUGGCCCAUGUCUGUCUUCCUGUCUCCUCUGUCCUCUGAUGGCCCUCCAGGGGGCAGAAAGCUUCAACCAAGGGCCAGAGCACAGUGUCACACUGGAGGCAGCUCAGACUGGGGAGCCUGUGGGACCUUGUGAUGACCUACUCCAAGCUCCAGACUUUGUAGGGAAGGAAACUGAGGCCCCGGACCACGUUCUCCCCUUCCUGUCUUUUGGGGCUUUAUUUGGUUUGUGUUUGGGGCUGUGCUGGGUUAGAGCUCAGGGCCUUCACCAUGCCAGCAGCACUGGACCACUGAGCUACCCCAGAGCCACUCUGUUGCCCCGUGUGAUGGUCCAGAUUCAGCAGAUCCCUGGGGCAGGUAAAGCGGAAGGGCAACAAUUAAAAGGACUACCACUGGAUCCAGUUAAGGUCAAACGCCUUAAAAGAAUGGACCGCCAGACUUCCUGUUUCCAACUCACCCCCCUUUUUUCUUUGUAUACCUUUUGGACUCAUUGUACCCGUUGGUCUUGCCAUCUAUCCUAGACAUACAUGUUUGGAGUGGAAAUGCCCCCUGGCAAUGAGUUUUCCCUCUCUUAACAGUUUGGAUAGUCAUCCUGUGGUCAGGAGCACUUGGUUCAGUUCUUUCAGCUUGGUUGAAGAUUAUUUUCUCUCCGGGUCUUGAUUAAAAUCAAGUCAUCAGGCUGGAAGUGACGAAUGCAAAUUCUACAAUGAGAGUCUGUGCAACAGUUUAUAAUAAUCAUACCACCAAAAAAAAAAAAAAAAAGGUACAGAUAGGUCUCAAAUUGACUCAGAACAAACUUGUGCAUUGGGCACUCUUAAAUAACCCCCCUUUUUACUUAACUUAUGGGAGAGCUGACAAAAAUGUACAUCUUUAAUUACAUUGAAAGAACCUUUUUCUUUUCUUUUAAAUGCCCAAGUAGGACUAUGCUAUGGUUAUACCAUUCUCCUGCCAGGUAUUUAAGACCAAAUUGGUAUAAAAAAAUGACAUUGUUUCUUCCUAUCUAUUACUAAGCGUCAGCUGAGUGUCACUCUUGGGAACUUGUGAGAAGCCUCUUGGCUUCUCUAGAGGCAUCUGCCCAUGGGUCAGAAUCUUGCUGACCGUAUGUGGCUUCCCUUGGAAAAAUCAGGGACAUUUCCCUCUCCAAUGAUCCUCAUCUUUGCAGAAUGUGGAUUGCUUGGCUUCCUGUUCUCCAGGGUCCCUCUGAUUCUCCUGAUCAGCAGGUCAUGUAACCCAGAGUUGCAAAGCCCUUAGAGAAGUCCUGUUGUUCCCUGGGUCCCUGCUGAUUUCAGAGGACAAGAGCCAUAUAUUCUCUUUUUUUUCCUCAGCCCUUUAACUGCCUUAACUUUGUUUGUGUUUUAAACAUCCAUCAGGCCAGUUUCACCAAAGUGUGAGUACUUGGUUUUAUAUUUAAUGUAUGUAACUUUAAAGUCAUUUAUCCCUUCCAUUUAAUUGGGGUCAGUAUUAAUACUGGAAGUCAGCCUUAUAUUUUGUUUGUCCUACAGCAAAAUAUAAGGAGCGAGCUGACAAAAUGGGAGAGCUGACAAAAAUGUGCAUCUGACGGCCUCCAGUGGGCAGAAAGCUUUGACCAAGGGCCAGAGCACAGUGUCACACCAGGGGCAGCUCAGAUUGGGGAUCCUGUGGGACCUUGUGAUGACCUACUCCAAGCUCCAGACUUUGUAGGGCAGGAAACUGAGGCCUUCUCUCCUCAGGGGACUUUUCCUAAUCAACUGUGCCAUGCCUGGGGCUCACACACAGGGCCCCGGACCACAUUUUCCCCUUCCUGCCUUUUUGGGGCUUUAUUUGGUAUUGUGUUUGCAGCACACGAUCACCCUGGGUUCUGAUGAAGAGUGUCCGGUUUUCCUCACACCCUAUGUCCAGGAGCAAUUUCGAUCGCAGUCCAGCUGCAGCCAGACAUUCAUGUCUUCCCAUGAUGUCUGCUGCCUUUAGGUAACACCUAUCACCAAGGCCAAGGAGCCAUGAGAAGGACAAAGAUAAUAUGAAAUGUGCAUGUAAUAAAAGGUCCUUCUGUGACAGAUUAGAGAAUCAAUGUUUUAAAAUGCCACUUAUUCCUGUUUUUUAACUACAGUCCCCGAGUCCUCAGUGCCUGUCUCUGUAGUUCAACCCCAUCUCACUCCCCCCAAGACUUUGUUCUCCAUUUGCUCCAGCCCUCCUGUCAUCUUGUGCCAAGCAUGCAGCCUCCAGUGCCAAAACAGAUGGACGUGCAGACUUGAUGUUUGAGGUCCAAUAAUCCUAAAGCUAUCAUAGUAGGAUAAGUUUUUUUUUUUUUUAAUAAAAAAGGUUUUACUCCCCAGGAGCAAAUAAAUAAUUUUGAACUACUGAUAAACACUGCUACCAAGAAAAGAAAGAUGUCUACAUCUUUCAUAUAUAUAGUAGCACAAGUUCAGUGUAAGAACAACUGUAUUUACAAUUAGAGAUAAAAACUACUUAUCCAUCCCCAAUCCAACCCAAACCAAGAGGAUUCCCAUAGGGAAAAUGUUGAAUUCAAAAGCUCCUCCCCUAUGCACAGGGGGCAUGUCAUUCUCUCAGAAGUGGAAAACAAAUCCCCCUGUGGAGAUGCUUGGAACACCCCAACUGGUGACAAGACUUGGGCAAAUGAAGACACACACUCACACUCAAACACAGACCUGUAGACCUCCUUCCAGCAGCCACAGAGUUACAUCCCAGAACCCAGUCCUCAAAAUUCUAGGCUCAAAAGCUAAGGAGGGGAAGCAGGGAAGGGAAAAUUUUCUCAAUCCUCCUGGGGUGUACCUUGGAGGAGUGUGUGCCCCUACUCUGCAUCACUCCUAACUUCAAUAAGAGCCUUACACAAUCAGCCCAAGUGAAAAUUAGGAAAGAAAGCUGGAGGAGGAAGCACAGGGGCAAGAGGAGGAACCACAGGAGGAGGAACCACAUUUGGCUGGAUCCAUUCAUGAAACUUAGGAGUUCUCAUUUAUCCAUAAGCUAAUUUUGAUACUGUGUCCAUCACAAGCACCUAAGUAGACACUACAAUACCAUAUACAAUACCAUACAUGCUUUUUCAUGGGUAAAAUAGAGCCUAUCACAGUAUGACACAAAAAGGGCCUUUGCAAUUGGGAACAUUAGGAAUACAGUUUGAGCCAUGAAGAAUACUGAAGUCAAAAGUUCAGGUGGCCACACAUCCUUCAUAUGGAAGAUUUAUUCCCACCAUUACUAUUGUUUAUUUCCCUGCUCAGGACUCUUUAAAGGAAAGAGGAUUUGUACAUAGGGGGCUCUUUCCAUUGUUCUUCCCUCACCCUAGCCCUAAAUUUUUUCCCUAUUUUUGGUAGGCUCCUGUAAUUGAAUUCCCCCUUGUGCAUCUAACCUCCCACCCUCCAUAUGUUCAAUCCCCCUUAUUGGGGAUUUCUUGCAUAACCAGGGCCCCUAACUGAUCAAUCCUACUUACUAGGGAUUUCUUGCCCAGCCACUAAAGAAGCUUGAGAUACAUUUUCCUGCUUUGGUCUAUGUAUGUGCAUAGAAUUACUUGGUUACUACGGUACUUGCCUGGGCUCUUUUCCUGUGUUAUCUCUCCACUUUUGAUCCACUUUGGAAUUUGGGUUCUUUGUUGGCCUCAGGGAUGGCAGUUUCCUCCUCACCUCUGUGGUUACCACAACAAGGCACCAGGAUGUGUUUCCUCUGAGGAGGGGGAUCACUGAGACCCCUAGGCAAUGCAUGGAGCCCCAUGAUGGGUGCCAAAAUUGUUAGAUAUAAUGAGGUGCUGUGGGAAAUGAAACGUGCUUGAAAGUGGGUAAAAGGCAAACUUUUACUUCUUCCGAAGGGCUGUGCUACUGGAACCUGGCCAGCAAGGGCACCUGGGCGGGCAGCCUGCCUGUUUAUAUACCUAAGGCAGUGCUGCCGUUUUCCCUGAUUGAAGUUUUUUUUUUUUUUUUAAAUAUAUUUUUUAAAUACUCAUUUUUAGUUGUUUUUUAGGUGGACACAAUAUCUUUAUUUUUUAUUUUUAUGUGGUGUUGAGGAUCGAACCCAGCGCCCCUAACAUGCCAGGCGAGCGCACUACCGCCUGAGCCACAUCCCCAGCCCUGAUUGAAGGUCUUCAGGGUAUAAUCUAUGUGAUUGGCCAAUUUAAAAAUUGGGGUGGGGAAAGGGAAAGGGCUACAGUUAAAAUGACUACAACUGAUUCCAAUUAAGGCUGAAUACUAUAUUCCAAAAAUAGAUCACCAGAUUUUCUAUUUCUCACGCAUAAGUGUGAGAGAAGAAAGAAAAGAAAAUUAAGAUCACCAGUCAUUCCACUCCAUUCAUUGCUCCCUGUCCAUGCUGGGGCUGCCCUUCUGGUUUUCUUUUGCGCUCGCGCGCGCACACACACACACACACACACACAAGCCUAGCUCAGCUGUCAUUCUGUAACCUGUUUCUUUCUUAUCCCUAGAACACAUACAUGUGCCAAUGACAGAGCCCUUAUGAACAUGUUGAAAAUGCUUUUCUCUGGUUCCUACAUAUUGCCCAAUAACCUUUCACAUGAAUACAGCAUAGUUCAUUGAAACUGCCUCCUGUCCUUAGCCUCUAUGGUGUUCCCAUACUUCUCUGUUCCAUACUAACUGUGAUUGCUUUUCAUUCAUGAAUGUUUAGGAACACAGUAAUUACUAUAAACUCCUCAAUGUGGACCUACUGUGUCAGACAAAUCCAUUUGAAAGGCUUUUGCUAGAUGUUGCCAAUGUUCCCCCGGAAGAGCCAAUUUGCAGGAUGGUUUCUUAUAUUGGUGGCAAGAAUCACCUCCCUUUUACUGUUCCCAGUUAUUUUGAUGCUGUUUUUCCUUUAAUCAGCCUGGGUGUGAAAUUGUGAUUCAAUCUAAUCUGGAAAGUGUGUUACAAACAUUGCCUGGGGGCGUGUCCCCAGCUUUGCAAGCAGGUAAAGGUAAGAGAUGCCAGGAAGAGUCCUGCCUGGCACACGGCCAAGAACCCACAAUCAAUGAUUAUGCUUAGGACGGUGGUAUGUCCCUGCUUCCUCAGCCUAACGAUGGGUGAGUGUCAUCUGUUCUGGGACAUCUCAAAACACCAGAAGGGUCCCAAUAUCUAAGGUAAACAAGUGUACCUUCCAGUAGAAAUGCCAUUUUUCCUGGCUCCAGGGGACACCUUUCCCUUCCUAUACAAUUAACUCAGUAGGGGAGCAGUGAGGAUGAGCAAGUCUCGGGGUACAGGUGUCUGUGCAGCUUCUCUCCAGGUACACAGCCAUCUUCCUUCCUUGCUGGAAGAUGCUUUCUGACCCCAGUUACCUUGAGCAAGAUCAGCGAUGGGGUGAAGCAGGCCUGGGGCACCUGUGAUUGGGAUCAGACCCACCUUCUGCAGUUCCGGAUCCUGCCGCUGAAAGCGCUGCUGAACAUGAUCCCAAAGCGCCCGUAGCACAUUCCUGCGGUUUGGCCGCUCAACUGCAGGGGAUGCUCGCGCUCUCACGUGGGCGGCAGCUGGUGGGAGAUCCUCCAAGCCACGCAACUGGAGCGGGACAGUCGGGUUGCGAGUAGGGCAUCUGCGUGCAGUACUUUAGAAAGGACCAUGCCCGGCCCCCAAACGCUCUGCUAGUGUCAUGGCCAUGUAUAGAGAGGACAGUGAGACUUGGAAAUGUUUAGAAAUGAUUUGGGACACCCAGCCCAUCAACCGCCGAGAGGUGGCAUAUUUCCCUGUCUUUCCCUCUCACUCCAGUGGAGGGGUCCCACCAUAGCCCAGUGCACCUCGCUGUUGGGCAGGGUGCUUCUGCUCAACCGUCUGCUUUUUCCUUUUGAUUGGUUUUCUUCAUCCAGCUUAUAGGAUAAGACCUCCCAUUUCAAUCAAUCUCCACCCACAUGACACCAGGAGCGUCUGGUGCCCUGAGUCUCACAUGGUUAAAUCUGGCUCUUCAUGCCAAGGAACAGCUUGCUGCAGCCCAGAGGCCAUCUGCUCCCUGUCCACACUGGGGCUGCUCCAUUACUCACUCUGAGAGAAUGAGAGUCCUCCAGUUCACCCACCUUUCACCUUAGGGCCCAGAACUCAUCUGAGCCUGCUUCAUCCUUCCUGUUGCCUAGGAGAAGAGAAAAGGUGACCCUGCAGGGUCCAGAGCAUUGGAGCUCAGCCCUCUGCUGUUUCAAGGCCUUCACACUUCCAAAUAUCCCCUGUUCUGUUAGGGAAAAAAAUGUUGUGAUGAUGUUGUCAAGCACAUGACACCAUCCCCACCCCCCACAAGGCUGGUGGGGUGAAUGGGGGCAAGAGCGCCUUUCAUGUCUACAAGGACGGCAAUUUGGACAUGGCUUGGCAAUUAAAAAGCUUGGCCAUUGCUCUGACUUCUUGCACACACAGGGUGUGCCAAGUGCUAUGGUUCUGCUCUGAAUAGCACAAUGAGCCUUUUCCCAAAGGGGACCUGUGGUCCUUGGCAGAAGCUCUGCGGGUGGUGGGAGUUGAGGGAAUUUCAUUCACACAAAAGGCGGGAUGAGUCCUAGAGGGUUUCCUGGAGGGGGAGAACACCAGGCAGACCUCCGACCUCUGCAUGGGCAUCAAAGACAAGGCAGUGGUCCAAGCACAGAAUGCAGGAAAACAAAUGUGGGGUGUUCAGGGCAUGCAGAACUUGGCCCUGCUCAGCCCUCUGCCAGGGCUGUUCUGAGAUCUGGAGUGCACAGCCAGGGAGAAGUGGGGCUGCCACUCAGGGUCCAAGGUAUUUAUUGACCCAGUGCCCUCCACAUGGCCAUGGGAGCUAUGGCUCAUCCUAUCUCCCCAAGGGGUGCUGAGAGCCAUGUGAUAUUUAGGAAGGGCUGGAGAUGGUGGCUGGGGCUCUGGCUCCACCAGCUCUAUCCUUGUGACUCUAGAAUGUGCUGAGGUGGGGCAGUGAGGGAGCCCGAGGCAUCCUCUGGGCAGGAGUGGAUGUCCAGCAUCUGGGAGCUGAUGCAGAAGAGAAAGAAAAUGAUCAGAGCAGCGGGGUGACUGCCAGUGAUGUCAUUGUCCAUGUGACUGUGCAGUCUCUGUCAUUUGGCAGCAGGGGUGAGUCUAAGUCUGGGAUCACUGUCUGCCUCCCCCUCUCCCACCCUUAGGGUCUCACAGAGUCAGGCAAACCCAUCUGGGGCAUCAGGGGAUCCUGGAACACGUUGUGACCUCAGACUCUCAUUAACCUCUCUGGUUUUGUCCUCUGACCUCUGCCUCAGAGACCUAUUGGGUCCUAGAGGUCACCUAAUACAAAGGCUUGUCCCAUGGAGGCCCCGAACCAGGGGUCAUGUUUAGUGGCAUAGCUGGGACUGGACUCUUCCAAGGCACUCUCUGUGUUGUCCCCAGCAUGGAUGCCCAGGGAGCAACCUUAGGGAUUAUCCACUUGCAGGUACUCCAGAGAGGGGCUCAUGAGGUUUAUUUGCGCAACUUGGGGGUGGGCUCCUGGCCCUGAGCAGGCUCCCCACCACAGGGAACAAUGACAUGGGAGCCUACCAUAGCAGGGAGAGCUUUGGGAAUCUUCUCUCACAGCAGCUCUUGUCUGGUGAGGUCUCUGUGGAAUGAUGAUGCCCUUAAGGACAGUUUCACCCUGAACUCACCCAAGGUGAGGGGUAGGGAAAAGGCUGCUGGGAUAAGAAGGCUGUGCUGGACAGGGGCGAGGGCUUAGGCCUUUGCUGUCCCCUUCCUGUUCUUUCUUACAGAUGCUCUAGGACUGAGCAGGAGUGCUCCUCCUGGCCUAUCUGUGCUGUGCCACCACUGGAGGGUGGGGCAGCCUUGCUUGCUCUCCUAUCCCAUGGAGAAUUGCUCCCAUGGCCCCUGGCCCUGGAUUUUUGCUCCUCUGCUGACCUGUACAUGCUCCCAACUCACAGAGGGACCCAAGGCAUUAAUUCUCCAAGCAAGAUGAUUGAAGGCAUGGGGAAAGGCACUGGUGGGGAAGAGAUCAGUGAUCUUGUAACAGGGCCCUUUGCUGUAACAGGGGUCCACUUCAUACUUUGAAUAUAACCUUGCUGUUCAACCACGGGCAGCUUAUUUUAAAACUGACAUGUUUUCCCCCUUCCUCUUCUCCCUCUUCACCUCCUGAGCAAAGGGGAAGCAAGAGGAAUGUUCUUUCUGUCCUAAGCUGAGUUAUCUUCCCUUCCUUCCAUUCAAUGAAUAAGGAAACUGGAGACCUACUAAUUGAAACGAUUGCUCUUCCAAUGAUAGAAGUCAAACAUUAAUUACUUCCAUAGAGAGAGAGAACUUGGAGAACAGCCCUUGUAUCCCCCUUUAAAAGCCCUCUAUUCCUCCUUUGGCAACCUCUGUGACAUGAGUCUUCUGUCUUUCUCUUUUGCUAGCAAAGCAAUAAAACUUCUUUUUUUCCUUUACUCAAAAUUAGUCUUCUUUAUUGAGUGAAAUUCAGGGAUGAGGAUUGAGUUUCUUGUCACCAACAUGAGUGACCAUUUUCAGUUGAGGAAACUGAAGUCUCAGAGAAUUGCUGGUAUCUGUAGGAGCUCAUUUCUGUGAGAGGAGAGACAGGGUGCUGACCCUGGUCCUACUGGGUCAGCCUUGUGCCUGUUCUUUUCAUUGCAACAAUCAUUUGAAGGAGAACAAGCAUUCUGUCUCACUAUACUGCUGAAAAACUUCUAUCCAACUGCAGCAAAGAUUCUUCUUCUUUCAAUGAGUGGUUUCCGGGGAUGGGGAGAAAGUGAGGGGGAGGGAUGAGACUGGGGGACAUGUUCUGGAAUCAGUGGUGAUGGCUGUACAACAGCAAAAAUGCAAUUAACUGCUGAAAUAAACAUUUUUAAAAUAAGUAAAAUAUUCAUUUUUAUUCAAAAUUAAUAGUAAAAACAAAAUCCAACAAUGAAAAUAGGGAAACUAGUGAAACAGUAAGGGAGCACAGGGGCCUCCCUUGGGCAUUAGCAGGUCCAAGGUGGUGCUCAGGAGCUGGCAUUGGCUAUGGAGCCACUAGGAGCUCCAGAGCUGGAGGUGAUAGUGAAGGAGUUUGGGGUCCUGGCUCUCCCUCUGGUGCUUGAGGUGAUGAUGGAAGUGCCACAAGUACCAGAGGUGACCCUGCAGUUGCAAGAAGAGAAACAAUCACCAAAUGACCAUGUUCUUUUCAGGGGCAAAUUAUUUCUCACUGCCUUUCAGAGGAAACUCUAUAUACAAAGCCACCACUGGAAUGGGUUCCUAGAGAGUUUGCUCUGUUUGUAAUUUUCCUGCCCCUCUCAUCUUCUGGAAGCUCUGCUCUGCAUACCCAGCUCCAUCUCAUUCCCAGUGCUCACAGACCCCAACCCCAGUCCUCCUUACCUUAAAACUCUGCCUCAGUGGGUUUCAGGGGCUUCCACAGGGCCCUGAGUAGGGAACCUCAGUGUUCCAGGUAGAGCCAGGGGUGUUGGGCUUCACCCAGAUUAACACAUUGGGGAAGGGCCACCUGGGCCUGGUCCACAGGGUUUACUACAGGAGCCCGUGAUGGAGGAGGUGGUACUGAAGUAGGACAGAAGAGGCCAGACACCUAAGGAAUGUUCAGGAAGCAGGUUUAUUGACUGCAGAAUUCAAAGGUGGUUCUCACCUAAGCAUUCUUCCUCUAAAAAAUGAGUAUAGAAAUUCUUUGAACUUUAUACCCAGGGUGUGGGGGNCUGUUCUGUUAGGGAAAAAAAUGUUGUGAUGAUGUUGUCAAGCACAUGACACCAUCCCCACCCCCCACAAGGCUGGUGGGGUGAAUGGGGGCAAGAGCGCCUUUCAUGUCUACAAGGACGGCAAUUUGGACAUGGCUUGGCAAUUAAAAAGCUUGGCCAUUGCUCUGACUUCUUGCACACACAGGGUGUGCCAAGUGCUAUGGUUCUGCUCUGAAUAGCACAAUGAGCCUUUUCCCAAAGGGGACCUGUGGUCCUUGGCAGAAGCUCUGCGGGUGGUGGGAGUUGAGGGAAUUUCAUUCACACAAAAGGCGGGAUGAGUCCUAGAGGGUUUCCUGGAGGGGGAGAACACCAGGCAGACCUCCGACCUCUGCAUGGGCAUCAAAGACAAGGCAGUGGUCCAAGCACAGAAUGCAGGAAAACAAAUGUGGGGUGUUCAGGGCAUGCAGAACUUGGCCCUGCUCAGCCCUCUGCCAGGGCUGUUCUGAGAUCUGGAGUGCACAGCCAGGGAGAAGUGGGGCUGCCACUCAGGGUCCAAGGUAUUUAUUGACCCAGUGCCCUCCACAUGGCCAUGGGAGCUAUGGCUCAUCCUAUCUCCCCAAGGGGUGCUGAGAGCCAUGUGAUAUUUAGGAAGGGCUGGAGAUGGUGGCUGGGGCUCUGGCUCCACCAGCUCUAUCCUUGUGACUCUAGAAUGUGCUGAGGUGGGGCAGUGAGGGAGCCCGAGGCAUCCUCUGGGCAGGAGUGGAUGUCCAGCAUCUGGGAGCUGAUGCAGAAGAGAAAGAAAAUGAUCAGAGCAGCGGGGUGACUGCCAGUGAUGUCAUUGUCCAUGUGACUGUGCAGUCUCUGUCAUUUGGCAGCAGGGGUGAGUCUAAGUCUGGGAUCACUGUCUGCCUCCCCCUCUCCCACCCUUAGGGUCUCACAGAGUCAGGCAAACCCAUCUGGGGCAUCAGGGGAUCCUGGAACACGUUGUGACCUCAGACUCUCAUUAACCUCUCUGGUUUUGUCCUCUGACCUCUGCCUCAGAGACCUAUUGGGUCCUAGAGGUCACCUAAUACAAAGGCUUGUCCCAUGGAGGCCCCGAACCAGGGGUCAUGUUUAGUGGCAUAGCUGGGACUGGACUCUUCCAAGGCACUCUCUGUGUUGUCCCCAGCAUGGAUGCCCAGGGAGCAACCUUAGGGAUUAUCCACUUGCAGGUACUCCAGAGAGGGGCUCAUGAGGUUUAUUUGCGCAACUUGGGGGUGGGCUCCUGGCCCUGAGCAGGCUCCCCACCACAGGGAACAAUGACAUGGGAGCCUACCAUAGCAGGGAGAGCUUUGGGAAUCUUCUCUCACAGCAGCUCUUGUCUGGUGAGGUCUCUGUGGAAUGAUGAUGCCCUUAAGGACAGUUUCACCCUGAACUCACCCAAGGUGAGGGGUAGGGAAAAGGCUGCUGGGAUAAGAAGGCUGUGCUGGACAGGGGCGAGGGCUUAGGCCUUUGCUGUCCCCUUCCUGUUCUUUCUUACAGAUGCUCUAGGACUGAGCAGGAGUGCUCCUCCUGGCCUAUCUGUGCUGUGCCACCACUGGAGGGUGGGGCAGCCUUGCUUGCUCUCCUAUCCCAUGGAGAAUUGCUCCCAUGGCCCCUGGCCCUGGAUUUUUGCUCCUCUGCUGACCUGUACAUGCUCCCAACUCACAGAGGGACCCAAGGCAUUAAUUCUCCAAGCAAGAUGAUUGAAGGCAUGGGGAAAGGCACUGGUGGGGAAGAGAUCAGUGAUCUUGUAACAGGGCCCUUUGCUGUAACAGGGGUCCACUUCAUACUUUGAAUAUAACCUUGCUGUUCAACCACGGGCAGCUUAUUUUAAAACUGACAUGUUUUCCCCCUUCCUCUUCUCCCUCUUCACCUCCUGAGCAAAGGGGAAGCAAGAGGAAUGUUCUUUCUGUCCUAAGCUGAGUUAUCUUCCCUUCCUUCCAUUCAAUGAAUAAGGAAACUGGAGACCUACUAAUUGAAACGAUUGCUCUUCCAAUGAUAGAAGUCAAACAUUAAUUACUUCCAUAGAGAGAGAGAACUUGGAGAACAGCCCUUGUAUCCCCCUUUAAAAGCCCUCUAUUCCUCCUUUGGCAACCUCUGUGACAUGAGUCUUCUGUCUUUCUCUUUUGCUAGCAAAGCAAUAAAACUUCUUUUUUUCCUUUACUCAAAAUUAGUCUUCUUUAUUGAGUGAAAUUCAGGGAUGAGGAUUGAGUUUCUUGUCACCAACAUGAGUGACCAUUUUCAGUUGAGGAAACUGAAGUCUCAGAGAAUUGCUGGUAUCUGUAGGAGCUCAUUUCUGUGAGAGGAGAGACAGGGUGCUGACCCUGGUCCUACUGGGUCAGCCUUGUGCCUGUUCUUUUCAUUGCAACAAUCAUUUGAAGGAGAACAAGCAUUCUGUCUCACUAUACUGCUGAAAAACUUCUAUCCAACUGCAGCAAAGAUUCUUCUUCUUUCAAUGAGUGGUUUCCGGGGAUGGGGAGAAAGUGAGGGGGAGGGAUGAGACUGGGGGACAUGUUCUGGAAUCAGUGGUGAUGGCUGUACAACAGCAAAAAUGCAAUUAACUGCUGAAAUAAACAUUUUUAAAAUAAGUAAAAUAUUCAUUUUUAUUCAAAAUUAAUAGUAAAAACAAAAUCCAACAAUGAAAAUAGGGAAACUAGUGAAACAGUAAGGGAGCACAGGGGCCUCCCUUGGGCAUUAGCAGGUCCAAGGUGGUGCUCAGGAGCUGGCAUUGGCUAUGGAGCCACUAGGAGCUCCAGAGCUGGAGGUGAUAGUGAAGGAGUUUGGGGUCCUGGCUCUCCCUCUGGUGCUUGAGGUGAUGAUGGAAGUGCCACAAGUACCAGAGGUGACCCUGCAGUUGCAAGAAGAGAAACAAUCACCAAAUGACCAUGUUCUUUUCAGGGGCAAAUUAUUUCUCACUGCCUUUCAGAGGAAACUCUAUAUACAAAGCCACCACUGGAAUGGGUUCCUAGAGAGUUUGCUCUGUUUGUAAUUUUCCUGCCCCUCUCAUCUUCUGGAAGCUCUGCUCUGCAUACCCAGCUCCAUCUCAUUCCCAGUGCUCACAGACCCCAACCCCAGUCCUCCUUACCUUAAAACUCUGCCUCAGUGGGUUUCAGGGGCUUCCACAGGGCCCUGAGUAGGGAACCUCAGUGUUCCAGGUAGAGCCAGGGGUGUUGGGCUUCACCCAGAUUAACACAUUGGGGAAGGGCCACCUGGGCCUGGUCCACAGGGUUUACUACAGGAGCCCGUGAUGGAGGAGGUGGUACUGAAGUAGGACAGAAGAGGCCAGACACCUAAGGAAUGUUCAGGAAGCAGGUUUAUUGACUGCAGAAUUCAAAGGUGGUUCUCACCUAAGCAUUCUUCCUCUAAAAAAUGAGUAUAGAAAUUCUUUGAACUUUAUACCCAGGGUGUGGGGGGAGGGGAUUAGGAGGUUCAUACGACAAGUGUGUUUCAUUCCGCCCUCUAGACAGAUGCAGGUUUCACAAGUUUUUUCUGCAAACCUUGCAUUUAUGAACAAAGAGGGAGCCACAAACCACAAUGUCUUCUGCAGAUUUUUGCUGUUAGCUGAUGUCCUGUGGAAAAAACUCUCUGAUAAAAAGAGGAAUUACAUGCCACAAAUAUGGUGGAGGUUUCUGCUUAAUGAUGGUAAGGGUCCUCUGGGUGGGGGUCCCUGGCCUGCUUUAUUGCUGGGCAAAGGAGGGUCAGCAGCUGAGUGAGAGGCCUGGUCUUGUUUCCCAUGCUGCCCUCGAAGGGCGACCCUGCAUGGCUGAGCUCCUGGGCCUGCUUUCCUUGCCUGUCAAGAGGCCAGGCCCAUCAUAUGCCAACCCCAACAUGGCAACCUUGACCCAGAUAGCUCUAGUCACUGAAGAGACGCUGAUAAAACGUCCCAUCGGUAGAAGUCCUGGAUCAAUGGUAUGAUCACCUCACCCUUCUUCAGGGAAGCUUGACACUGUCUGCUCCUUCCCCACUUGACCACCCAACCCCAGGAGGAAAGGGAAGGGGUACCUUCUGUGUGCGUUGCUCUCACUGUCUCAGGCUCGUGCUCCAUAAAUAUGUGAUUGAGGAGGAAACAAUGGGAGUCUGUUGGGCCAGCCUUCCCUGGGUCUUCUAGCUUACAUAAUGGCAUCUGCCAGAUCUCCUUUUACCUUGUCCCACUGAGAUGUGUGCAUGUCAAGAGGAAGCCAGGAGGAUGCCAUAGAUGCUGUAAUGUGGAAACUACCUCCUCUGAUAUCUAGGGUGUCUCUGUGACCUGGACUAGAAUGGAAGUCAAAGAUUAGGGUUUGCUGUCUGCUCUGUUCAUUGAUGAUGGUCAGUGCUCAGAAAACUCUCUGCCCAUAGUAUAGCUUCAUAUCUACUCAUUCGACGUUGGAAUGCCAUCACCUGCUUCCAAGAUGUCUAAGGGAGCCUGGGCACCUCUGCCAGCCCCCAUGGAAUCCAGUUCAGGUACAGCCAGAAGCCUGCAGAGGGAACCUCAAAUCUCCUUCACAAUGAAGAAAAGAGCUGAGUCCAAGUCCAGAGGGUGAGUGAGGGGUGAGGCAAAAGCUUCAUUCUGGGGGGAGAAGAAAAUAAUCAGAGAAUAAGCACAUCACCCGCCCCCCAGCAGAUCUUUCUAAGGGACCAAGCCCUGGGUGAACACUUUCCAAGGAAAUCCCACUUAGUCCUCAACAAUCCUAUGAGGUUGACCUGCUUGGCACCCACUGUUCAGAGGUUCAGUGGUGAAGUUGCACUGUGCCUGGAGGGCAGGCAUCGCCUUCUAAACAUGAGGACCUGUUGUGUAGAGAUGAAGAUUCAGUAGGUGUUGGUGAAGGAGGGGCUGGAGGAGGGGUGGCCCCCCAAGACAUCAGGCUCCAGGGCCUCCUCCAGGAUCUGUAGCGUACCUGCUGCAACCACCCAUAGAGUGGGGUUUUAUCCCCCUCCAUGGCCAACUCUCCCCUCUGUGGUGGGACAGUGGGGGAGACAGUCAGUGGCCAAACUGUGACCUUUGCCAAAAUAAUCUACAUAUAUAAUAAAAUCUCAAUCAAUAUUCCAAUGGUCACUUUAUGCAAAAAUGGAAAAGCUAAACUACCAAUUCCUAUAGAAUUAUGUAGGAACUCAAUUAACCAAAACAGUCAUAGAAAUGAAGGAUAAACUGCUCGAUUUCAAAGGUUACUAAAAAGCAACAAAGUAGUUUUGUAUUCAAAAAUAGAGUGGUAUGGGUAGAAGCUCAGGCUACAGAUCUUGGAAUAGAAUUUAGAGUACAGAAACAGACAAAAAUAUCUACAUUGCAUUGAUAUUUCCAAGAGUGUUCACAAGAGAAAAAUAGUGUCUUUAAUAAAUGUUGCUAAGGAAAUAGGUAUCCAUGUGCAAGAUAAGGUUUUGGGACCCUUGCCUCACCUGAUAUAACAAAUAAAUACAAAGUGGAUCAAAGACCUAAAUGUAAGUUCUUAAAUGAUAAAACUCUUAGAAGAAAACAGGCAUACAUCUUCUUGACCAAGGCUUAGGCAAUGAUUUCUCAGAUCUGACACAAAAGGCACAAGCAGUAGAAGAGAAAGCAAACUGGACCUCGCAAAAAUGAAAAUUUUGUGCAUCAAAGCACACUAUCAAGGAAGGUGAGAAGAAGCCUACAGAAUGGGAGAAAUUGACAGCCAGUCAUCUAGAGGGUAUGAAGAACUCUUCCUUUCCAUGUCAGUGGUCUCCCACAGACAUGGGGAAUGUCCCCAAGCCCCUCUAGACUUCCUGGAAGUGUGGCAAGCACCAACCCAUGAAGUGAUGUAUGAAAAGGGCAAGGAUUCUCUGUGUGCAGAGGAAAGCAAUGUUGUGACAGGAAACAGAGUGGCUAUUGUGGACAGACCACACUGAUUUUCUUGGAGAAGGCUAAUGCUACAAAGAAGAUUGUGCUGAGGAUUGGGUGUGCUGAGCCCAGCUGCAAAUCUCAGAAUGCUGGCUCCUGAGAGAUUGUGAAUAGGAGGGGAUAAGAAAUGAGCAAGUGAUACAGUUCCUAGAUUCACCUUGUGUUUUAUUAUGAAGACAACAAAAUACUGAGGUUAUGUUCACUUAAAAGAGACUGAACUAGACAUUUCUCCAAAGAAGAUAUAAAAUGGCCAACAACAGGUAAAAAAGACGUUCCUGUCACCAGAGAAAUGCAGAUGACAACCAUAAUGAAAUACCACCUCCCACCCACUAAGAUGGCUGGAAUAAAAAGAAAAAGAAACCCAUAAAUUAGCUAGUGUUGGCAUAAAUGUGGAGAAAUCAGAACCCUCAUACAUGCCUGGAGAAUUGUAAAAUGCUCCAGCCACUGUGGAAACCAAUUAGGUGAUCCUCAAUAAACAAAUCUAUAAUUACCUUAGACCCGGCAAUUCAAAUUCUUAAAUGCAUAUAUAAAAAGUGUUAAAAUGGCUGUUCAUACAGACUUGUUCAAGAAUUUGCAUGGCAGCACACUUCAUAGACAUGGCAGAUAACCAUGAACUGAUGGAUGGUUGAAUUCAUAUAGUUUAUUCAUAUAAUGGAAUAUUAUCCAGCCCUAAAAGGAAGAGGACCUGACAGAUGCUACAACAUGAUGAACCUUUGAACCAUUAUUCAAAGAGAGGCACAGGGGCCAUAUAUUGCAUGAGUUCAUUUAUAUGAAAUCUCCAGAAUAGACCAACCUGUAGAGACAGCAAGCAGAUUAGUAAUUAGCAGUGACUUGGUGUGGGGAGUGGGGAUGACAGCUGGGAUGGUAAGGAGGUUUCCAUUUGGGAUGGUGAGGAUAUUCUUGACUAGAUGGCGGUGAAGGUUUUCCAAAGUUACAAGUUUACUAAAUCACACUGGGUUGUACCCUUCAAAAUGGACAGAGGGUGACUAUUACACGUGAAUUUUACUUUAGUAACUCAGGGAGAGAGUUGAAGGUGAGCCAUCCCCAGCCAUGAGGGGGUCUCUGAAGAUCCCACCUCAGUCCCAAAGAGUAGAAGAGCUGAGGAAAGCCCUGAUCAUGGGACCUUCCCUGAACUCUCCCCUUCCUCCCUGGCUCUGCUCGGGCCUGAGAAGUCGCGCGCAUCCGCGCUCCGCGCCCACAAUUUUGAAUGGGGAGCAAAAGGAACUGCUAUUGGUCCAGCCGGUGGGGCUGAGCGCUGAUUGGCUGAGGCUGGCAACGGACCUGCCCGUGCGCAGAGAGCCGUUGAGGACUCGCUGUGUGGCAGUUUCCCUGCCCUGGGCUCAGUCAGCGCCUUGUCAGCCGCCUGGUGAGCACCGCAGGAGCGCCCUGGAGCCAGGUGCUCCUGUCCAGCCCCAGUGAGUGCCGGAGGUCUUGCAGGAGGCUGGGGAGGGGACCCUCCCUCUUAGUGCCUGGUCACUCAGGCUUGCCCAAUUCACCUGUUGUCCCCGUCGGGUCUGGCUCCUCCUCUGUCCUCAGGGUCAGGUUCCUCAGUCCAGGGUUUCCUGAAUUCUCCUGAAACACUCUCAUUGAUCCGUUGCACCCUGAUGUCAGGCCUCUGGGUUCAGUUUUGGAUCCAUCCUUUUGUAUUUAGUUCCCUCGCGCCUCCCCCUCAGCCCCUGAGCAUUUCCAAAGAAAACAUUCACAAAUGGAUCUACUUCGUUGAUGGCAGAAUUGGGGAUCUAGGGUCCUCAGAACCUUCUGUGACAUCCUUCCUCUUCCCCAUAUCCGCGAGAAGCCUCUCCAGGGACCCUUAGAAACAGAAGGGGCAAAGCAUAGCGUGGCCCUGCGGUGUCCCAUCUAUCUUUGUGAUCUUGCAGAUCUGAACACGUCAUCUCUGUGAGAACAUUCUCCCCACACUUUGUGCGUGUGUUAACAAUAUCAAGCUUGGUUCUCAUGAUCACAGUGGCUGGACCCCACUGGAUGUGUGCCAGGUAGGGCAGGGGUCAGUCCAUACAAAGAGCAGUCUUUCCAGUGGGAAUAGCCACUGCACCCUUGAGGGGAGUUGCUGGCCUGCAGAGGAGCGCUCCUCUAGGGGCCUUUCCUGGCUCUGGCUCCUCUCUCUUGACAGCCUGGUGCACCAAGUGGAGGCUGUUCUCAUCUCCCUCUGUGGACCUGCUCUAGCCCUUGAUCCCUGGCCCUGACGAGAACUUUUUCUCUGAAAUGAACCUAUUUUUUAUGUGGCCAAGGCUGCUUCUCACUUGUUAGGUCCAGCUCAGUUCUUACUACAUCGAAUAACUGCAUUCCCCAAUUUCCCUGGCAAAAUUCAUCAUCCUGCAAUGAGAUCUCAGUCUGAUUUCAUACAUCCUGUGCAGGCCCUGCAGACAAAACCAAAACCAAACCAAAGAACAUGACUGCGUUUAACACCACGUGGGUGGUGUAGUCCCCAUAGCAGUCAGGGAAAACAGCAGGGGGACACAGGGAUCACUUUUGAUAAGGAGUGUUACAAAGAUUUGGAACUUGAGGGACAUUUUUAAGGACAGAGGAGCUCUCUUCUAGAGUGGACGCUGUCAGGAAGCAGGGAAUUCUAUUAGUGGUGGUCUUCUUACAUCUUAUGCAGAAAAAAGGGAAGACUGGAGGGAGGUGAAUGUUAAUUGGGGACAAAGCAGCUGUCACUUAAGUUCACCAGAUAGGGGAUGUUUAGUCACUUCUGUGAAUUAAUUUAUGUUCACCUUUCAUCUGUGUUCAGACAUGGUUAGAGAUCAGACUUCAUUUUUGGUCCUGAUUACUCAUUUCACAUUGAAUUUGGUGCAUGUUGAUGCUCCAUGAAUUGCUUAGGCUUCACUAGGAUUUCAGGGCCAGGCUGUGAGUGUCAAACCUGGUCCUGGCAACAGCAGGCCCCGCUGAUAGACAGGCCAACUGCUGGAGGUCGAGGCUGCUUUCUUCUUUCUCACAGGAUCUCAGGACCAGGUCUUAAAAGAUGCCUCCUAGGAGAGGGUUUCAAAUAGAUUGAGAAAAAUAUUAAAGCAUUUAUGGCACCAGAAAAUUAUCAAGACAGAAGAAAUUGGAACAAGUAUUAAAAGGGAGUCCAAAACAACAGUUUGUGACCAUUGCUUCUGCUGGGGAUGCUGUUCCUGUCCUGGCGCAGUCUCCUUUUUGCUCUGGCUGGGGUUGUCUGUUCACAUGCCCAUUUGGGAGCUUCUCUUCUGGGUGCCAUGUGCAUUGCUGCUGCUGGAGCCCCCAAAACUCAUGGAAUUUGUGUGUGUCCCUCCCUCCAGCAACCUGUGUUUACUACCUGCUGAGUAUCAAGUGCCUUGUCAAGAGUCCAGCCUCGCCUGGACCUCCACACAGGUGUCUGACAUUCACUCAGAUGGUUGGCCCUUUACUGCCCUUUGAGGAAAUCCCAGAGCCUGUGCAGGCACCUUGUGACCUCACCCAGAGCAAAGAGGAUUCAUUUUGUUAGGAGCUUAGAGAAAAGGGCAACAGAAUUUGGUGAGGGCUUCGGUGGGAUGAAAAGAUUUGUAAAAUUAGGCUUCUGUGGAAAGGUCCCAGGGAAACAUAACUGUUCUGACUCUGGGUGCCAGGUAAGUCACAUUGCCCCUUUGUGCUGUCUUUCAUUUUCCUUUUCAUAAAAGGAUUUUUAGGGUGGUGUCUAUAUUCCUGAGUAGAAAUGCAUUAUUUUGGAUGCUCUCUGUCACUGUAAGUUGCACACACAUUCUUAUACCUGCAGCAUGGUGACCUGGGCUUCCUCUCUGUUCCAGGAGUUAACAGUAUUGUUGUCCACUCAGGCCCAGAUGCGUCCAUGGCUAAAUUCAGCAUUCUGAGGAGAGGAGGACAGAGUUCCCCUGAAUAAUGUCAAGGAGCGAGGUAAGCCUGUAUGCUGCUUCUUUCUGUCAUUUUUGAUUAAUUUGCAUUUUUAUAUAACCAUAGACUAUGCAUUCCUUUUGUGUCACCUCUAGUAACUAUUUUCAGGUUUUUCGAUGCUUUUCCUAUAUCUGCACUUCAGCCUCUCAUGGCAGUGCAUAGUAGUUUACAGUUUGUUCAUACAUUCCUCUCCUAAUGGAUGUCUGCAUGUUUCCUGUGUUUGUGUGCAUAUUUGAAAGAAAUUGCUAUGGAUAUUAUGAAAAAGACAUUGUUUAAGCACUUACACUUUUAUUUCCCUUCAUUUAAUGCCUGGUCAUAUGGGUAGAUACAUGUUCAACUUUUUUCUUUGUUUUUGGUACUGGGGAUUGAAGCCAGGGCCUCAGCAUGCUAGGUGAGUGCUGUACAACUUGAGCCACAUCUCCUGUCCUUUUUCAUUUUAUUUUGAGACAAGGUCUUGCUACAUUGGCCAGGCUGGCCUGAAAUUUGUGCUCCUCCUGCCUCAUCUGCCUAUGUAGCUGGGAUUACAGGUGCACACCACAAUCCUGGCUUUGAGUUCUGCUUUUAAGAACAUUUUCAAACUGUUUCCCAAAGUGGUAUAUCAGUUUGUAUUCCCACCAAUGGUGUAUUGAGUUAUUCAGUUUCCCUAUGAGUAUUUUCAAUUCAUGCUAUUGUAUUUACAUCAUUUUAUUUUUUUGCAGAAGCAUAGUGAAUAUAAGUUGUUUGCUUUGCAUACAACUAGUUUAGCUGGGUGAUCAUUUAAAAGAGUGAAAUAAAACACAGAAAUCCCAUAUAAUUAUACUUCCCUAUUUUUGUCUUGUCCCUGAGAAUUUCAUGUAUAUAUCUAAUAGACAUCAUAAAUAAAAAACCAUUGACUGGUAGAUAUUUCUGUUGCUUCUGUAUCUAAGUAUACAUCUUAUUUUUUAUGCAUUUGUAAAAAUGAAUGGAUGCACUGUUCCUUGUACUCAGUUUCCCCCAAUGAUGACAUCUUGCAGAACCACAAUUUGCUAUCACAACCAAGAAGAUUACUUCAAUAUAGUGAGGAUAUACAAUGUUUCCAUCACUAGAAGGAGUCCACUAGUUGUUUUUUUGUAGCCAAACAAACUUUUCUCCUCCUGUCUGUGCUUUUUCCUACAGGUAACCAAUAUUAUAUUCCUCCGUUACUAGAAUUUCAUAAAUUUUACAAAAAUCAAAUCAAUCAUAGUAUUUGCUAUUUUGGGAUUAGCAUCAUUCACUCAGGAUAAUCUUCUGGUGAUGCAUACAAAUUGUUGCCAAUAUCAGUUUUCAUGACAGAGUAGUUGCCAGUAUAUAGAUGUCGUACUGUUUUUGUUUGUUUGUUUUUGUUUUAUUAUCUCCAAAAGGUCAUUUGGGAUGAAUUCAAUUCUUGGUGUUGCAAUAAGGCAGCUACAUAAAAUUUUUUUUUAAAAAUGUGCAUGUCAUCACUAAAGUCUUCAUUUCUCUGCAUAAAUUCUCAGAUGUGCAAUGGACAUAUCUAAUAUUAUUUGCACUGUUGGUAAGCUUUCCACUUCUGUGCCCAAAUACCUGAAAUGAUCAGCAUAAAAGGAGGGAUGGUUUAUUUUGGCUCAUGUUUUCAGUUCGUGCCUGGUGGUUCUGUGGCUUUGGGGCCUCAGCAUACAUCCUAGUAUUGAUGCUCCUCACAAGAGGACCAAAGUUCCAAUAUACCCCUCAAAGGCAUGUCACUAAUGACAUAUCCUUCCAAUAGGCCCCACCUCUUACAACUUCCACCAGCUACUGUCAGUACCACAUGCUGGGGACCAACUCUUCAACACAUGGGCCUUUGGAGGACAUUCAAGAUCUAAAGUAUAGCAUGCGUGUUUUGUUUUGAAGAAACUGACAAACUGCUUCCCAGGGGCUCUAAUAAUUGCAUUAUCAAUAGCAAUGUGUGAGUGAUCCUGUCUCUUCCUCUUCAGCAGCAGAAAUUGGAGAGUAUUUUUAUUUGAGCUACAUUUAUAGGUGUGUAUGAAGUAGGGGUGUUUGUGUGUGUGUGUGUGUGUUUGUGUGUGUGCGUGUUGAGAUGGGGUCUUGCUAUGUUGUGCAGUCUCCUCUCUUACUCUUAGGCCCCAAUGAUCCUUUAGCUUCAGCAGUCUGGGUAUCUCCCCUAUGCCCUUUGAUUCUCAUUGUGAUUUUAAGUUAUGUUUUCCUUAUGGAAAAAUGUUUUUCAUCUUUUUCUUUGCUUGUUGGACUCUGGAUUUUCUUCAUGACAGUAAUGCAAUUACAGAAUAAUGGCCUAGAAAAUUACAAACUAAACACAAUAUUAGAUGAAAGAAGGAAAUAAGAAAGAUUAAGAAUGAAAAUAAUGACUUGUGCCAUGGCACAUGCCUGUAAUCUCUGUAGCUGUGGAGGAUCAUGUGUUCAAAUCUAGCCUCAGCAACUCAGCAAGACCCUGACUCUAAAUAAAAAUAUUAUAGAAGGACUGGGGAUGGGUCUCAGUGGUUAAUCACUCCUGGGUUCAAUCACUCAUACCAAAAAAAAAAAAAAAAGGAAAAAGUGAACUACAAAAUAGAAAAACAGUGGUAAAAUCCAUAAAAUCCAAAAGUUGGCUUUUCAAAAAGAUCAGCCAAUUAAAAGGUAAGACCCAAACUAUAAGAGUUGAACAUAGGGUCAUCUGCCUUACAGAAAGAAAAGGCAUCCAGAGAGAAUACUCUGAACAAUAUAAGAUAGUGAAUAACCUAGAUGAAAAAGCAGGAGUUUUUCCCAGUGAAUCAGUAGGAGGCCACCAGGGAGCACAAAGUCACCUUGCACAAUGAAGACAAGGAUCCUGCCCUGAGCUCCUAAGGCCACUAGAGGGUGCCGAAUCCUGCUUUCUGCCCUAGAUGGUGCACAGGCUUGUGGAGCCUGGGCCUGGUUUCCUCAGAACCCAGCCCUGGAAGCUUGUCCUCCACUUGGGUGGAGGGGGAGCCUCAUCUAUGCUGAGGAGAAGGUCUGUUGGAGGCCCUGAUGCCCGAGGAAGGCACUUUUGUUGCCGCUGCUCUUGGACGUUGUGUUAAGUAGGCCAUUCCCAAAGGUUUGUUCUUUCCUUCCUCACACUUGAACAACAAUGACCCAUUUAUUCCAGGUGGAGGCUCGUCAUAACAGAGGAGGAAGAUGAGGUUUUGUGCAGACGCAGGUGGUUUUGCAGGAGAAAUUAUCAGGACACACACAGAGAAAGGGAUAGCUACAAUUGGGGACAGAAUGGACCAAGCCUUGUAGCUGUACUGAUGAGGUAGGGACACAGGACUUUCUAGGGGUGAGGGGUGAGGAAGGCCAGGGGGAAGGGUCAGUUAACAGUGGUCCAUGUAUUUUUGUAAUUAUUGUUUUUAACCCUCAGGUAAAAGCAGUUGAAAAACAAGUGGCGAAUUGAAAGGGGGUCAAGUAAAACUCAUGACAUUUUGGUUUAAAUAUUGCAUAUCAAAACUAGAAUUCAGUACAAAUGUAAUUUCCUGGAUUUUAUGAAAACAAAUCAUAUGUUUAAAAAGAUACUUAUUAGUUCUUCUCAUUUUCAACUGAGAGACUUCUCAUAUUUGAUCAUUGCUCAUGACCAGUGAAGACCUUAAAUAAUUUUAUAUUAAUUUGCAUUGGCUAAAUCAUCUUUCAAAGGACUGUAUUGUGACUGGUGAUGUUUAAAAAUAAUCUGUCAAUGUGACUUCCAAGUGUGGGUAUUAUUGCACUGAGCAAAAUUUGUCAAUCACAUUUAGAAGAUCCCCAAAACAAUGGUGAUGUUUUAGUAACAAUUAUUGAUAUUUUGUGGUGCUAAAGGCCAUUUAUAUGAAAUAUCUACAGAAUUUAACACAAAAUCCAGUGGUGGAGUUUUUGCAUGAGAUGUUUGUUGAAUUAAAUUUUCCCUUUUUAUUAUUCAAUAUCUGAAUAUAUUUAAUUUUGUAUAUCUCCAAAGCAAUGGGGAAAAUUAGGAUCAAUGUAACAUUCUUUAAAAAUGUGUUAUAUAAGAAAAAUUGCAGGCUGAGGUUGUUCCUCAGUGGUAGAGUACUUGUGUAGCACAUGUGAGGCACUGGGUUUGCCCUCAGCACCACAGUACAAAUAAAUAAAUAAUGUAAUUAUGUCCAUCAAUAACUAGAAAAUAAUAUUUUAAAAAUUAUGUUUAUUUCCCCAAAUAAUUGAAACUUUCAUCCUUGGAUCUUACAUUAUUAAUUUUUAUUUACUUUUUUGUUCAUUUUCUAAUGAAGUAUAUUCAUAUCUUGUAUAUUCAUAUACAAGUAUAUUCAUAUCUUGUAACAGUUUUUCUUCAAACAUUCUUGUAGUUACUUUCUUUUCUUCUGAGUAAAGACCUCCUAUUAUGGAAUGCAGAUUUAUUUUUUGGAAAUUAUUUUGUUGUUAUUGGAAAGUCUAUUUCAUUUUCUCUAUUUUUCUCCGAAAUAUCAUCCCAUAUUUAUGAGUUGUAGAAAGUUUCUAAUUUAUUUCCCCAAGGAAGGAUUUGAUUUUGGUUUAGGGAAUUUUUUCAAUUGGCAUGAUAUAUCUGAUGUAUAUUCCAUACAAUAGCUCAAUGUUUAAUAUAUAUUUCAUGUGUAUGAGCAUAGUGAUCAAUGUUGAUAAUUUUUGGGGAAAAUAUUUUGAUUACUACAACUGUGCCUCCUAGUGCCACAUGGAUGGGGAAAUCCCAGUCUCACCUAGUCUCUCAGCACUCUCCAUACUGUACAAUUCUGCCACAAUAAAGUGAGUCCCUUGUACCUUUACACACCUGAACAUGCCAGUAGAAUCUCACAGAGCAGAAGUCAGAAUGAACCAAUAAACUCUAUCUUUCUGCUGUCCUCUGAUGAACACGUUUGAACAGACUCAAUCAAAUUAGGCCUAGGAUGAAAGUUAGAACCGAUACUAGAGCCAUCUUCUGCAGUCAUGGAGAGUGAACUGAAGGAGACAUUCUAGUAUGGUGUGUCGCUUAUCAGGAAGAGGGAGAGAUGUGAGUGAAUGUCCUUCUCCACAGAGUUGGGAAUGGGGUAAAAGGCAGACAGUUUCAGGGUACCCAGCAGGGGAAGUGGUUUAUGUGGAAAAGCAGUAAUGAAAAAAAAAUAUCUCUCCACAGCUGAGAGGAAUCAGAGAAAAUUAUGAAAAACAGUUGUCUUCAAAGAAAGUCAUGUUCCAAUUUUGUUUUGGUUCCAAGAGAAAGACUUCAAAUACUAAAGUAUGGAGAGCUCAUCGAUAAUAUGAGGAACACAGUAGACCGCCUUAUCCUGGAGGAUCUGUUCCAAGAUCCCCAGUGGGUGGCUGAAACUACAGAUAGUACUGACCCCUAUCUACAAGCAGUGCAAUUCUCCCCAGUUUAUCUCAUGUCCAGAUGGUUGUCAAGGUACUGAUGGGUGGGUAGCCUAUAGAGCAUGAAUCCAUUGGACAAAGUAUGAUUCACUUCAUGGUCAGGACAGAGAGUGAUAUUGCCUGAUUUCAUCAUUCAUUCAUAAUCAUGAGUAAUUUAAAACUUAUACAUUAUUUAUAGCUCUGAUUUUAAAUUACAUAAGUAAAUUAUGGGUGAGUGAAAACAUAGAAAGUGAAAUUUUUUUCAUUAGUUCUUCUUAGAUAUGUUAGCAGAUUAUAUUUUCAUAUAUUAUUCACUCAUGGUAAAGUGAAAUCUUUGAUGAGAGGGAACUGGUGCAUUUAGACUUUUUUCUUUACUAUGACCAAAAGACAUGACAUGAAAAAUUAGAAGAAAAUUUUUUCUCUUGUGAGGGUUGGAUGUCACAGUUUCAGAGGUCUCAGUGUAUAAAUGGCUGGCUCCAUUUCUCUGGGAGUUAAGGUGAGGCAGAACAUCAUGUUGGAAGAGUGUGGUUGAGAAAAGUGGCUCAUGACAUGAUCAGGAAGCAUGGAGAAUAUGCUCAGCUCACAAAAUAUAUACCAAAGGCAUUCCCCUCCCAGAUGACCCACCUCUUCAGGCACACCCUAUCUGCCUAUAGUCACCACUCUGUUAAUCACUAUGAGGGGAUUGAUGAUGCACUCAUUGUUUAAGGCUGUCAUAACCCAAUCAUUUCACCUGAAAACUUUCUUGUAUUAUCUUACAUAUGAGCUUGUGGGGGACACCCAAAAUCUGAUUCUGCCACAGCACAUUUUUCCAACAGGGACUUAGGAAGGAUGAAUUAUGAUGAGAUUUGUAAUGAAUUUAACUUAUCCCAUUGUAAACUGCAUGAAUUUCACCAUACCAAUAGAUUUUUUUCAGUUAUAAGGAUCAUGAAUACUUCCAAACAGGAAAAAGAUACAUGAACAUGUGUCUGUCAGUAAGCCAUCAGUGUUCCCAAGUCCAAUAGAUCAGUAAGAUAGUAACUGUACAUGACACUGAAUUAGAGGAGUCCAAUGCCAGUUUCCUCCCAUUCUUUUUCAGAGCAGCAACAGUGAGAUACCUUCAGUCCUCAGAUAUUUAAGACUUGCAGCUUCUUGAUAGUGCACCAAAGAUGCCAGUCUGGGAGGGGACUGAAGCCAAUCCAGCUCCUGAGGUAAGUUAGCAGUGGAAAUCUCAUGAGUUGUUAGAAGUCUCACAGAACUCAAGUGGCAGGUAACGCCAGAACAGGGGCUUCCAGAAAAAGGUAACCUUGAAAUACUAAGGUGCAGUUGAGAAGGACCCAGCAUUCCCCUUGGCCUCCUCCUUGCCUCAGCAGGGAAUGAGCUUCCUGAGCUCAGGUUCAUCAUGAGGGCUUGGCCAGGUCUUGGAUCUGUGAUGGCAGAGAGCUGAUGGAGGGUAUUCCAAGUUGAAUAUUCUGAGAGGAGGAAUCACAAACCCUCUUUCUUUUCCUCAUUUUCUUAGGAUUGUUCACAUACUCAGAUUUCUUGCCUGAGGCAGAGUGUCCCCAAGUGCCUCAUGACACCUCCAGAAAAAGAAGACAUGUUUCCUGUUACUCUCAAAGGCACUGCAGAUUUCUGGCUGCAGGUUCUGAUGCUUUUGUGAUGAAUUUUCUGAUGCUUUUGUGAUGAAUUAGAAAAGUCAGGGCUCAACCCUCUCUCUCACCACGAAAAAUUUGAUCUCCCAAGAUGAAACCUUAGAACCAGGACAAAAUGUAAGCAGAGGUUAAUAGUUAAGGUGCAAAACUGUCUUGAAUAGGAGGAACAUUACUCAGCCCUAGACAUUUAGCAGCACUGAUUCUGGUUUUUGCUUUGGAGGUGCUGAGAAUGGAACCCAGGGCCAUGGACAUGAUAGCUAAGCAUUCCAGCACACAGCAACACCACCAGCUCAGUGCUGCUGUCUUUAAGACUCAUGUGGAAUUGUUAGACUUAAUGUGUCAGUAAUCUGAUUUUCAUUUCAAACCUAAUUUGUUUGCAUGCAGAGAGAUCCAUGCAUGAGUAGAAGUAUACUUUAGACGUUGAUAUCAUACUACUGAGAAAAUGAAAGAUCUGUGGGGCUAAUGAUUGUUUUAGUGUUACGUUGGUAAUAUUAUGAGUGAAUUACAUAGAUAUGUAUGAUAAAUUAAUUAUAUUUCAUAGUAAAAAUAUUUAAAUAUGUAAAACAUUAACAAAUACCAAACUGCUAAAUAUAUGCUUGUAUUAAAGUAGGAUUUGCUAUAGACUAGACUAUCCACCAAGAGAAAUCAAGAGAAGUUCUAUAUUUAGGAUAAACAAGCCAUACUCUGAAUUGCUGUUUGUGUUCUCUUAACAACAGCAACAAUAUGAAGAAAUAAAGACUUUAAGCAACUACUGUAAGGCUGGACAUGAGUCCUGGUGCAUUCCUCUCUUAGAGAAGUUCCUAAGGCAUAAUGGAAAACAUUAUGAAAUUUUUUCAAAAACUUGAAAGAACUGCCAUAUAAUUGAUCUAGCAACCCCCCAUUUGUUUGUCGAUGAAUAAAGAAUAUGUGAAGUGUGUGUGUGUGUGUGUGUGUGUGUGUGUGUGCGCGCGUAUGAUAGGGUAGGUAUUGAGAGAGUGAGAAUGAUAAUAUUAUUCAAUCAUUUUUUUCCUUCAUAAAUGGGGGUUUAUCCCAGGGGCAAUUUACCCCUUAGCCACUUCCCAAGCUCCCCACCCCCUUUUUUGUAAGAGAGAGAGAGAGAGAGAGAGAGAGAGAGAAAUUUUUAAUAUUUAUUUUUAAGUUUUCAGUGGACACAUCUUUAUUUUAUUUUUAUGUGGUGCUGAGGAUCAAACCUAGUGCCCCGCGCAUACAAGGUGAGCGUGUUACCUCUUGAGCCACAUCCCCAGCCUGCCAAGUCCUUUUUAAUUAUUUAUUUAGAGACAAGAUCUCCCUAAGUCACUUAGGGUCUUGCUAAGUUGCUGAGGCUGGCUUUGAAUUCAUGAUCCUCCUGCCUCAGCCUUCAAAGCUUAUGGGAUUAUAAGAGUGUGCCAGAACACCUGGCUAUUAUUCAGUCUUAAAAAGAAAAUCCUCUCAUUUGUAACAGCAUGGAUUCCUGAGGACAUCAUGCUACUGAGAUCAGCAGACACAGAAAGAGAGAUACUGCUUGAUCUCACUUCUGUGUGAAACCUAAAAUAGUCAAACUCAUAGAAGCAGAGAGUCCAUGGUGGGCAUGAGGGCUGUUGAUAGGGGAAAAGGGAUAGGUGAUGUUGGUUAAGGUUAUAAAGAUUAUACACGAUGGAGAAUUUCUAAAGAGCUAAUGAAUAGCAUGGUGAUUACAGUUAAUAAUAUGGGCUGUUUAAAAAUUGCUAAGGGGGUAGAUCUUGGGUAUUGCUAAGGGGGUAGAUCUUGGGUAUUCUCAAUACACACACACACAUACACAUACACACACACACACACUCAGAAGAAAAUGGUGACUGAGCUGAAAGAUAAGUUCAGUAAUUUGUUCUGAUCAUUUCACAGUGUAUCCAAACCUCAUGUUCUGUACAUCAAUGUAUACAAAUUUAAUUUCACAGUUACACCUCAACAACAGUGUUAACAAAAACAGUAACCAAGAGUCUGCAUGGUGUGGGCACCAGUGCCGAAGGAUGGAACAAGGUCAGCCAUUCUCAGGGGAUGCACCCAAAGAGCCAUUCAGCGGGACAGUGCCUUCUCACUGCUGAGAAGCAAUCUGUCUCUUUAGGAGGUCUUGGGGAUUGUUUCCAGGGAAUAUCACCACUCUCUAGAUCAAAAAGCACUGGUGGAUUUGCAGCAGGAAUUACCUCACUGCUGCCCACAAAGCUCCUAUCAUCAGCAUGAAAGGUUUAUGUUUUAAGUAGGAUCAAAGCUAUAGCUACUUAUUUUCCUUAUUAAUUGCUCUGUUUUUGAAGAUUCUGAGUUGGUAAAUUAUAAUUUCCUCUACUGUUCACAGUAGGUCUCUAUUUAAUCCUUCCAUAGAUAAGUAGCUUUUGACAAAUCCAACAACUGAGGUUGGCCUGCUGGAUGCAUAAGGAAAUACAAAGGAACAAGAGUUAAAUAUAAAAUGCUUUGGUUAUUGAUACUUUUCAUGUCUUCAGUGGAAUAAAGGGAUAGACCAAGCUUAUAUGGUGACCCAAGCAAACUGUAGCCUUUAACUGAGAACCCCUUUUGGGAAAGAUGAUUACAGUGGGUUGUUUCUCUUCCAGAAAACUUUAUAUGCAACACUUAGCAUCAGAAUCUUCUCCAAAGGGGAAACUAUGCUGAAACUUCACAGACAAAAGUUUCAGCAUAGUUUUCUUCCUAGCCUUCUUCACAGACAUAAGAAGGCUAGGAAAAUUCCCAAGAGAAUAAGCAAGGACAGAGUAGAGUCAAGAGAGUCAAGGAGAGAGUCAUAUCAGCAGGCUUUAAACAGUUCUUAAUAAAUGGGAUGAAGAAAUCAGAUAUUGAUAGAGUAAAUAGCAAAGCUUAGUACAAGACUCCCAGAAGUUGUGUGGCCCCAUAAGAUCUCCCAGAUUGUCCCAAGAAAGAAUCUACUUUGUCCAACCUAGUUGGUUUGAAUCCAGAAAACUUGACCCUGAGUUUCCUGGGAAAAUAGUCCCACCAUCUGAUCAGCACAAGGCCUGAUGGAAAGGAGAAGUUCUCUUAUGUACACAAAAGAGUGAAAAAAUGGUCCAAAGAUUGAAAAUAGAUAUUUCUGGGACUCUUUCACACAGGAUCCCCAUGCACCAAACCCACUGGGGAAUAUCUAAUUAGGGUAUACUUAGCUUGAGAGGACAGAAAUCUGCCAGGUUUGGUAGAAUUAAAGGAAAAUUGUGGAUGAAAACAAAUGUUUUAAAUUCUUCAUGAGAAUAUUGUGUUUCAUUGAACUGAGUGUUUUAUGGAGAUAGAUACUGUUUGAGGAAUUUUUUAAACUAGUGUUGUACAACAGAAGCUGGUAAGUGUCGUCUUUUUAAAAAAAUUUUAUUCUAAUUUCUUAUAUAUGACAACAGAAUGCAUGACAAUUCAAGUUACACAUAUAGAGCACAAUUUGUCAUAUCUCUGGUUGUGUACAAAGUAUAUUCAUACCAUUCAUGUCUUUAUACAUGUACUUAGGGUAAUGAUGUCCAUCUCAUUCCACUGUCUUUUGUACCCCUGUGCCUUCUCCCUUUCCCUCCUAUUCCUUUGCCCUAUCUAGAGUUCUUCUAAUCCUCCCAUGUUCCCCCUCCCAACCGCAGGAUGAAUCAGCCUCCCUAUGUCAGAGAGAAUAGUCAGCAUUUGUUUUUUGGGGGGAUUUGCUAAAUUCAUUUAAUCUCCAACUCCAUUCAUUUGCCUGCAAAUGCCAUGAUUUUGUUCUGUUUUGCUGCUGAGUAGUAUCCCAUUGGAGAUAUAUAUAUAUAUAUAUCACAUUUUCUGUGUCCAUUCAUCUACUCUAGGGCAUCUGGGUAGAUUCCACAAUUUAGGUAUUGUGAAUUGUCCUGCUAUAAACAUCGAUGUGUCUGUGUCCAUGUAGUAUGCUGUUUUUAAGUCCUUUGGGUAUAGAUCAAGAACUGGGAUAGCUGUGUCAAAUGGUGGUUCCAUUCCUAGUUUUUCAAGGAAUCUCUAUAUUGCUUUCCAGAUUGGCUGCACCAAAUUGCCGUCCCACCAGCAAUCUAUGAGUGGGCAUUUUCCCCUCACAUUCUCGCCAACACUUAACUGUUGUUUGUAUUCUUAAUAGCUGCCAUUCUGACUGGAGUGAGAUGAAAUCUUAGAGUAGUUUUGAUUUGCAUUUCUCUAAUUGUUAGAGAUGUUGAACAUGUUUUCAUGUGUUUGUUGAUUGAUUGUCCAUACUCUUUUAAGAAGUGUCUGUUCAGUUCCUUGGGCCAUUUACUGAUUGGGUUAUUUGUUUUAUGGUGUUUAGCUUUUUGAGUUAUUUAAGUAUUCUAGAGAUUAGUGCUCUAUCUGAUAUGUGAGUGGUAAAUAUUUGCUCCCAAGAUGUAGGCUUUUUAUUUACUGAUUGGGUUAUUUGCUUUGUGGUGUUUAGCUUUUUGAAUUAUUUAAGUAUUCUAGAGAUUAGUGCUCUAUCUGAUAUAUGAGUGGUAAAUAUUUGCUCCCAAGACGUAGGCUUUUUAUUUACCUCUCUGAUUGUUUGUUUUGCUGAAAAGAAGCUUUUUAGUUUGAAUCCAUCCCAUUUUUGAUUCUUGAUUUUAAUUCUUGUGCUAUAGGAGUCUUAUUAAGAAUACGACAUGAUAGAGAUUUGAGCCUACUUUUUCUUCUGUUAGAUGCAGAGUUCCUAGUUUAAUUCCUAGGUCCUUGAUCCACUUUGAGUUGAGUUUUCAGAAUGGUGAGAGAUAGGGGUUUAUUUUCAUUUUGUUGCAUAUGGAUUUGCAGAUUUCCCAGUACUGUUUAUUGAAGAGGCUAUCUUUUAUCCAGUUCAUGUUUUUGGCACCUUUGUCUAAUAUAAGAUAAUUGUAAUUUUGUAGGUUAGUCUCUGUGUCUUCUAUUCUGUACCAUUACUCUACUAGCCUGUUUUGGUAUCAAUACCAUACUGUUUUUGUUACUAUUGCUCUGUAGUAUAGUUAAGAUCUUGUAUAAUGAUGCCACCUGCUUCACUCUUCUUGCUAAGGAUUGCUUUAUUAGCUUUUCUGCAUUUCUUAUUUUUCCAGAUGAAUAUCAUGACUGCUUUUACUAUUUAUAUGAGGAAUGCCAUUGGAAUUUUGAUUGGAAUUAAGCAUUAAGUUUGUAUAGUGCUUUUGGUAGUACAGUCAUCUUGACAAUAUUAAUUCUGGCUAUCCAGGAAGAAGGAAGAUAAUUCUGUCUUCUAAGGUCUUAUUUAUUUUUUUCUUUAGCAUUCUGUAGUUUUCAUUGUAGAGGUUGAUUGCCAAGUAUUUUAAAUUUUUUGAGGCUAUUGUAAAUGGUGUAGUUUUCCUCAUUUCCCUUUCAGAGGAUUUGUCACAAAUGUACAGAAAUAUCUUUGAGUUAUGGAUGUUUAUUUUGUAUCCUGCUAUUUUGCCUAAUUCAUUUAUUAGUUCUAGAAAUUUUCUGGUGGAAUUUUUGGAUCUUCUAGGUAUAGAAUCAUAUUGUUGAGAAAUAGUGCUAAUUUGAGUUCUGUGUCCCUUAAUUUCUUUUGUAUGUCUAAUUGUUCUGGCCAGUGUUUCAAGACCUAUAUUAAAUAGAAGUGGUGAAAGAGGGCAUCCUUUUCUUGUUCCAGUUUUUAGAGCAAAUGCUUUCAAUUUUUCUGCAUUUAGAAUGAUGUUGGCCUGGAGCUUAGCACAGAUAGCUUUCAUGAUCUUAAGAUAUGUUCCUGUUAUCUCUAGUAAUGUGCAAUAUUAAUUAGACAUUCUAAAUUUGAACAAGAUGAUUGCUUGAGCCCACACAGAGAAUGGGAUUUGAAGAUCAUAGGCUAGAAUCUGGAGUACUGGAAUGGACAGAUACUUUAUAACAUUGUUCUGGGUAAAGUGUAACCGGGUGCUUGCACAAAAACCUGUGAGCCACCUCCCAAUGAUAACUGAUAGAACUUUGACAAAGAGAGCGUUCAUUCAAAGGGUAAUUACUCCCUUGCUAUUAGUUGAAAAUGCCCCUGUAACUGAAUAACAGAAAAUAUCCCUGAAACACAAAAUAUGCAUGAUGUCUUAGGUGAUGUUGGAGGCAUGGUGUAAUGGGGAGGGCUGGUAAUAAAUGAAAAGGCUUGUGCAGAAACCUACUCUCAGGAGACAGAGUUAGUUGACAUAUUCCUGAGCAGUUUGGUCUUUUCCCUAGGACUGACUUUAGAGCAACCUGUGGAAUUGUGGGAUUCUAUCCCCACUUGGACUCUUCCCUUUGAACAGCUAGUGAUUGACAAGCAAAGAGCUGGUUGGUUUCUGGGUGGCUGCAGCACACAUGCAGUGAAAUUAAGAAAAGGUAAAAGCAGAUCAACUUUGUAGGUUGAAUAACAUGAUGUUUGCUCUGCAUUUGGUUUUUAUCCUGACUGAUGGGAGUCAGACUCAGUCACCUGCCCUAAUUAUGAGGCAGAAGGACAAAGGAAAGCUGGUCUAUUUAGGGAUUGCCUCUAUGGGGUACAACCCAUAGAAAUCACUAGGGGAUGUGAAAGGUGCAUUGAAGUAGGAGUUGCCAUUGUUUACCAGAAGACCCUCCGUCCAGGAUUGGGACAUAAUUUGAAUUGACAAGUAGGUUUCCCAGUGUGCUUGCUUGAGUUGGUCACCUGGGUGCAUGGUAGGGGGCUGUAGCAACACACAGAUGGGCUGUUUCCAGACAUGUUGAAUUUGCACCCUGUGAGGUACAAGGUAUCGGUAAGAACUGUCCUGUCUGUGAGGGAGGGAGGAGGAUGGUGCCUCUGACUAUGGGGCAGAUUCCCAGAAGAGAAGGCCUUGCCCAGAGCUGGUAAUUCUGUAUCCCUGGGACACUAUGGUCUGUACCUGUAGGAAGAGAAAUAGACUCUGGACUGGCUCAUGUGGUCUUGAAAGCUGAUGAGUCCCAAGAUCUGUCUUCAGCAAGCUGGUGGCUCAGGAGAACCAAUGGUGGAAUUCCAGCCUGUCCUAAAGGCCUGAACACUAGAAAGCCAAUAGUGUAGUUGAGGUGAGAAGGUGGUUGGAUGAUACCCAGGAAGUGAUGUUCCAGUUCAUAUCUGAAGGCAGAUGAAAUCCACAUCAUGGCUCAAAGGCAGUUGGGCAGGAGCAGAGCAGUUCACCAUUACUCAGUGUUUUUUCUCUAUCCAGGCCUUCAACUGAUUGGAUGAGGCCACUCCUGAUGGGCAGGACAGUCUGCUUUACUUAGUUUACUGACUCACAUGUUUCUCUCAUGGAAAACAACUUCACAAUCACACCCUUACUCAGGUUUUCUAAAUAUGUGAGACCCCUAUGGCCCACUGACGUGUUGACCCUUGAAGUAAACUGAUAACAAUCACUUAUGUUUCACUUAGUAAUAAAAAACUGUCUGAUACAUGAGCUGUUAAAUGUUUCUCAUCUUCUUGACAAUAAUACUUCAAUGACUUUACAAAACCAUAAGAGAUUACCCCAUAAAUUCAUAAAUCAAUUUAUGAUUAGGAACAAAAAUAUACAGAAUUUAUAUGAGUCGUAAAGUCUAAUUUUUCACUAGUUAAUUCACAAGCUACUUGGAUUAAAUGUGAUAUAAAAAUCUACAAAUACAUCCAAGCUGUAUAUAAAAUAUGAACAGAUACAUGGUAUAUGUUCCCUGAUAUAUGAUAUUCUAUCAAAGGCAAAAGUAUAGGGACAAGGAAAGGAUCAGUGGUUGCCAAGGAUUAGGCAGAGGGAGGGGUAAAUAUGUGAGGCACAGGAUUUUGGGGGCAGUUAAACUGUUUUGUAGGAUACAAUAAUAAUGGAUACAUAUCAUCAUACAUUUGUCCAAACCCGUUGAAUGCAGGAUAGCAAGAAUAAAAUCUUUCAUUGGGUGAUAAAAAUAAGUGAAUGUUUGUUGUAAGAAACAUAUCACUUUGGUGGGGGAUGUGGACAACUGGGAGCCUGUGGUAGCCAAGAGAUGUACAGGAAAUCUCUACCCAAUUUUGAUGUGCACCUAAAACUUCUCCAACAAAUGAAGCCUAUUAAAAACAGCAACAGUAUUACCCUAUAUGCAUGUAUGAUUACACAACUGGUAUAACUCUGUCAUGUACAACCAGAAGAAUGAGAAAUUUUAUUCCAUCUAUGUAUGAUGUGUCCAAAAUGCCUUCUACCAUUGUGUAUAAAUAGUUAGAAUAAAUUUAAAAAUAACAACAUAUUACAUCCCCCAAAAUAGAAGAGAGCCAUGUAAAUUAAAAUUAUUUAUAAUAGAUAGAAAUGAGAGAAUGCUUAGUACUUACAGGACAUGAAUAUAUAGAUUACUACAUAUUAUUAAAUAAUGAGAAUCAAAAUAUGUUUGAAGCCAAAUACUAAAUAACCAUUAACAAGUACCCAUUUUCAUUUCUAACUAUUGUAACCCAGCAUUUCCAAGGCACAUUUAUAACAAUAUCUGUCAAUGCAAUUAACAAGUAAAUGAAUAUGGAGUUUCUUGAAUGUUAAUCCUGCACAACAAAAGGCAAACACAUCAGUUUUUUAAAAACUAUUAUUUUUAAAAAGACAAAGCUAAUAUGAAAAUGCAUAUAAUAUUCUUCAUAUUCAUGCAAAUUAAAACCUCUCUACGAAAAAAAAAAUACUCUGAAGUCUAAAGUACAAUGAAACUUUUAUUUCACAUCAAAGUUUUUUUCCUACUUUUCAGUAGAUGUUCUUAUUGGAUUCAACCGCAAGAUAGUGAAAUUUGGGCUCUACUUUAGGGUCCAAAAGAUUGUGGCCUGUGGAAUUAAACAUUGUCAGGACCACAUAGGCACAACAAGUUUUGUAGCAGACAAAAUCUCACCCUUGCAUUUGAAAGAGAAAAGGAACUUUCUAUUUUCGAUGGAAGCACUUCUUGCUCGAUUGCAUUUUUAAUCUUUACAUCAGGAGUUGUAAAAAUGCCAAAAAAUGAUGUGAAAAAAGAAAUUUAAUACAUGUAUAUUGUGUCAUUUAUUUCAAAGCAUACCUUGAGAGCAUAUUUAAAGGAAUCUGAUAAUUUAUUCCAUUUCAGUGUGUGGCUAUAUACCAUAAUCUAUAGCAUAUAAAUAUUUACAAAGGGCUUUGGUUCACAUUUUGAAGUUUCCAUGCUAUGAUUUGCUAUUCCAAUUUUUAUGAUGAUAUAUAAGGAACGAAUUAAUCUAUUAAUGUUCUACCAAAUUUCACUGAAGAAUUUUGUUAGAGCCUAGCAUUUUUAAAAUAUCACAACUCUGAAUGCAUACUGAGCAUGCAUAUAAAUCUAGUGAACCAAAAUUGGUUUUCAAAAAGAUCAACAAAAGUGAAAGUCCUUUAUCUGUGUGUUUAAUAAAAAGGAAGACUCAAAUUACUAAAUUAUGAAAGUGAGAACAUUACUAUUCACUUUACAUUCAUAAAAAAUGUAUCUGUGCACAGUGGGGAUGGUUGCAGUCAUAGCUACUCAGGAAUCUAAGGCAGACAGAACACUUGAACCCAGGAGUUCAAGGUCAUCAUGUUCAAUAUGGACCUUGACUCAAAAAAAUAUAUUAUUAGAGAAAACUAUGAAAAAGUAUAUUCGAAUAAAUUGAAUAACUGGUAGUAAAUAUGAAAUUCUAAGAAACACAUCACCUUCUAAAGACUAAAUCUUGAGAAAUGAUAAAAAAGAGAAUACACAUAAAACUCACAAGGAGGUUAAACUAAUAAUCCAAAACAACUUUCCAAUGAAAAGUUCUAGACCAGAAUAUCAAGUGUACCAGAUGGUUGAUUCUGAACCACAUGGAGGGUUCUGAACCAGAUGACUUCACUAAAGAAGUGUAUCAGGGUUGGGGUUGUGGCUCAGAAGUAGAGCACUCACCUAACAUGCAUGAGGCACUAAAUUUGAUCUUCAGCACCACAUAAAGUAAAAUAGAUUGUGUCCACAUAUAACUAAAAAAUAAAUAUUUAAAAAACAAAAAUCUAUCAAAUGUUUAAAUAAGGGCUGGGAUUGUGGCUCAGUGGCAGUGUGUUUACCUAGCAUGUGUGAGGCCCUGGGUUGUAUCAACACCACAUAAAAAUAAAUAAAAAAGGUAUUGUGUACCAUCAACAGCUAAAAAAAUUUUUUAAAUGUUUAUAUAAGCAUUACCAGCUUUCUUUUCCAAACUUUUCCAAAAUUCAAAGAAAACACACCUUAUGCAUCUGAGAGGCCAGGAAUAACCUGGUACUGAAGCCAGGCAUAGAAUUGACAGGAGAAGGAAAUUCUAGAUCAUUAUUCCUUAUGAAUCCUGGUGCAGAAACGUUCACAAUGAUAGCAAGUGCAAUUCAGCAACUUAUUAAAGUGACUGUAUAAUAUGACCAAGUACAGUUUAUUCUAGCAACACAGGAAUAGCUCAACAUGUGAGCAUCAAUCAAUAAACCACAUAAGCAGACUGAAGUAGAGGGGGAAUAUCAUCAUCUCUGCUAAAGUAGAAGAAGUGUUUGAAAACAUUCAACACCUUAAGAAGAAAAAAAUUACGGUUAACAAAGUUGAACUAGAAGGAAACUACCUCAACAAAGAUAUUACAUGAAAAGCCACAGAUAACACCAUACUUAGUAGUAAAAGCUUGUUUGGUAAAAUUGGCAAAAUGUUCAGGAUGCCUGCUUUCCCCUUCCACUCAAUAUAAUAUUGAAAGUUCUGGCCAGAAGCAUAAGGAAAGAAAAUGAAAUUGAGGCAUCCAAAUGGGGAAGGAAGAAAUAAAAGUAUGUCCCAACACAGAAGACAUAACACAUAUGUAGAAAACCCUGAAGAUGUCACACAAAAGUGUUGGAACUAAUAAUUUCAGUAAAAUUGCAGAAUAUAAGGGUAACAUCCCAAAGGAAAUUGAAAACACAAUUCCAAGGCAUCACACUUGCUGAUUUCAACUAUGAAAAGCCAGGAUAUCAAGACACCAUGGUACUGGCAAGAAAACAGGCACAUAGUCCAGUAGAGCUGAGCUGAGAGCCCAGACUUCAACCCACACAUGUGGUCAAGUCAUGUUUGGGGGCCAGAAGCGCAUGAGAGGGCAAGGAAAGACUGGGCACCCACACACAGAAGGAUGAAAUUGGACCCUUAUUUUAUGUUCCAUACACAGAAAGGAACUUGAAAUGGAAGACAGAGUUAAAUAUUUAUCAGCCCUGAAACUCUCAGAAGAAAACCGAGGUGAAAUCUCUUGAUUUGGGUAUUAGCAAUGAUUUUUUGGACAUAACACCAACAGGAUGGGCAACAGAAGAAAACUAAACAAGCAGGGCUACAAAAGCAAAGGAAUCCAUCCAUAAAAUGAAAGGGUAAUGACCAAAGUGGGGGACAUAUUUACAAAGCAUAUCUGACAGGAGUUAAGAUGUCUCUAAUAGUGGGGAAAAGGCCUGCCUUGGCAUUUUCCCAAAGGAAGUGAAAGGUUACCAAUAGGUAUGAAAAGGUGCUCAGCAUCACUAAUGGCUGGGAAUGCAGAUUCAAAACCAAAAUGAGGUGUCACUGAGCACCUGUUAGGCUGGCUCUUGGCAAGAAGUCUAGAGAACAAGCGUUAGCAUGGCUAUGGAUCAAAGGGGGGACCCUUGUACACUAGUGGUUCAGAAUUUCAGCUUUACAAGUAGAGAGUUUCUGGAGGUGGGCAGAGGUGGUUACUGCACAAUAAUGUAUUUAAUAUUAUUGAAAACAUAGAAAUUAUAAAGAUGGUUAAAUUUUAUAACACAUGCUUUUCCCAUAGUUUAAAAAAUUAAAAAUUAAAAAUUCAUGUUGAAUAAAGGACUUGGAAAACAGACUUGACCUCAAAGCUCUAAAGUUGAUUCUGAGCGUUUGGUUUUUGCAUCAGCACGUUAUUCAUAUUCAUAACAGCUUGGUACUUGGCAACAGUACUACCUGAUCAUUGCUAUUAUUUUGAUUAUGCUGAAAGAUCCACAUGUCUUCUGUAAUUUGUGGUUGAUUUUUUUGGUUUCAGCAACAUUGGGGUCAUCUCUUUCCUUCCCAAAGAAGUUAGUCUCUUGAGAGCCUCUUCCUGUUACCUCCAUGUGCAGCCAGCUUGAUGGGAGCCUUGAGAAGCCAGGAGUCAUGGAAAUCAGGGGCUGCCUGCAGCCCAGAUAUUUAUAAUGAGGGGAGUUUAUGUAUAUAAAAUUAUGUCAUCUGCAAACAGGGAUAUUUAGACCUCCUUCCUUCCUGUUUGGAUGCCUUGUAUUUUCUUGUCACCUCUUAUUUCUAUGGCCAGUACUUUCAAAAGCAUAUUGAAUAUACAUGUUCUUUUGUUCCUAAUCUUACAGAAAAUGAUUUCAGCUCCUCUCUAGUUAGUGUGAUGUUGCUUUGGUCAUGGUCUCUGAACAUCCUUUCUUCAUGGUCCACUUUAUUUUCAAGAUCAUUUAUUUUGUCUUUGAGGCCUCAAACCUGUCUUCAAAGUGUUUUAGUCUGCUGGUGGUGUUUUCCAUUGAAUUUUUAAUGUGGCUUAUUGAGUCUUUCACUUCCAGGAUUUCCAUUCAGCUUUUUUUUUUUUCUUCAGAAUCUCUAUCUCUUUAUUCGAGGGAUACUUUACUUCCCAUAUUUUCUCUUUACUUUCACUCCAUAUAUCUUCUUUUAGCUCAUACAGCAAUUUAACUAUGAACUCUGUAAAUUAUUCUGACAUUUCCUCCACUGCAGUGUUGAUGGGAUCAAUUGUUAAAGCAUUAUCAGUUGAUGGGAUUGGUUGUUAAAGCUUUUGGGAUGGUUCCCUUGCCUUUUCAUAUUGUUUGUAUGUCUACCCAUCUGUUGUGAUAGCUGUCAUUUUUUUUUUUUUUUUAAAGGGACUACUUUGUGAGCCCUCGGUUGGGUGAAUAUGCAGAUAUUGGUACUUUAAGUCAAUAUGAGACUUUUGUUGAUCCCAAUAUCAGCACCACUUUGAGAAAUGCCACCAAACCCUGUUUACUAUAAUCACUCAUUACCAAGCCUCCUGCUGUUCAACCUUAUGAGAAACACAAUGUUGACAUUGUUGUGCACAGUUCCUCAAAUCCAGGUCUAAGCUGUAGUGAAGUUCUGGAAUAGGUUAAAAUUAGUUUUUCAAUUGACUAAAAUGCUAUAAUUUUAAAUGAGGGCUAAAAUUGGGGAAGAGGAAAGAUUGGGGAAAGAGAUGAAAGGGAGGAAGGAAGGAAAAGGAAGGAAGAAGGAAGGAAAAGGAAGGAUGAAGGAUGAAUGAAUGUGUUUGAGGUAGUAGCAGAUAACCAAAGAAGAUAAAUAUAAAGGGUAAGAGGAGCAGCUGUAAACUGAGCCUCUCAAAUAAGGAUAUGCAGAUUGAUUCCAGUUAAACCAGUAGAUAAAACAGUCAAAUGUGUUGAAUCUUGGCUAUUAGCAUAACCAUUAUUAUUCAAUUGAAAAAGUUCAAUGUAGACAUUAGAGUUAUUUAUAGUAAAUCAUGCCAAGGUGAAGAAAAUUCUUUUUGGAUCUUGGUUUGGGUUUCAUUGGAGUUCAGACCCAAAUGAAAGAUGUGCAUCCUUCUUUGGCUGUGGGUCCCUCCAUCAUUGCUGGGGCACAGGAGCCACUUCCCUGUUUGCUGUGAACCUCCCACUGGCCAGUUCUGGUUCAUCAGCUCGGGGGUCUGAAGUUGAUGCUUGGAGAGUUCAGUGUUGUGUUCUAGUUGUUUCUAUUGUGAGCAGGAAUUCAGGAGGCAGACUGGAGUGUCCCACUGAUUGCCAUGGGUCACUGUCUACUGCUCCCCAACACAGGAUCCUUUUCAUGAAUGUGAAUUUUCUGCAGGUACCCCCUGGCCAGUGCUGCCCUCUGGGUUACUGAGGUAAAGGGACUCAGGUGGUUCACUUGGGUUCUAGUUUCCACUACUCCAGGUUAUGAAUGGAGGGUAUUGAUUCCCUCUGUUGACUCUGACUGAUACAAAGUCCAGCCAGAGUCUAAACAAUGCCUUUUCCUUCACCACUUGUGAACACUGGUCAGGCUGGGAGCACACAUUCCCUAUUGCCAUGGAUCAUGCAAUUUUCCACCUUAACUAACCUCCCUCGGGCUAUGUUUGCAGGUGCCUACUGCUUAAGUUUCCUGGGAUAUUCAGGGAACUUGUUCUAGCAGCCUUCUACCAUAGCUGCCACCACCUGGCAAUCAGAUGUGUCACUGGAUAUUGAGACAGCUUCCCUCUGGUAUGGACUAUAAAGAUGAUGGUCCCUGAACUUCUCACAGUGCUACCCCUCUAUGUCAGUGGUUGGUGCUGCUGUGGUCCUCAUGGAUCCAUUUUCCUCUGCUCAGAGCCAAAGCUGUCUGGGUCAGUGGAUGCUGCUCAGUGUUUUUAUGUUUGUUUGUUUGUUUGUUUGUUCCUCUUGUUGCUGUUUUUGUUUUUCUUUCCCUGCCUCUGCCUGGGUUGCAGAGUGGUGGUCUAGGCGCACUUCCCAGUGCAGUCCACUCAGUCCCUUCCCCCGCUUUUGGGGGAAGGGGAGGGGGAGGGAGUUUCAGUGAUUUGGGGGCGACUAGUGGUUCCUCUAGAACUUCUUUAUGGCUCUAUUCCUAUGAGGUCCCACUCCAGGGGACUUCCCUCUGGUUACAUUUGCAGCUGUCUGGACAUAGGAAGAUAUCCUGUCAUGAGAUGGCUGUGAACCCCUGGCUCAGCUUUCCUUUCACAAUUUGGUUUUAACCUUUGAUAUGUUAUAAGGGUCCUGCUGUUCCCAUCACACUUAAAUUUUUAUCUGCCUUUCCAAAUGUUUUUAGUGGGUGAGUUUAAGUAAAUUUCUACUCUUUCUUUCUUUCUUUCUUUCUUUCUAUUGCCCCUCACCCCUUCCUCUAUCCUGGCCUGGGUUCCAGAUCAGGGAAACGUGUGCUGAUUUUCUUCUGUGGUAUCCAGUAUUUCCAGACCUAAGACUUGGUAACACUGAGUCUUUGAACCGUUGUCACUCAUCUCUCAAUUCUGAUUUUCCUUCACUGCCUCCUUUCUGUGUGGUGAGGAGAUCAGGAAUUGCUGUCUUGCUCCCUUCUACCAUCUUCCCAGUCUCUCAUUGAUUUUCUUUUAAUUGAUGCAUUAUAGUUACAUAUAAAAUUGGACUGCAUUGUGAUAUAUUCACACAUGCACAUAGUAUAAUUUGAUCAACUUUAUUCCCCAAAUUCUUCCCCUUUGCCUCUUGUCCUCCCUCACCCUUUAUUUCCUAUUUCUACUCCUGUCCCUUCUAUUUUUCGGAAGUUCCCCCAACUUUAUUCCCUUUUGUCUCCCUAACUUACAUUUAUGAGAGAAGGCAUUUGAUCCUUGCUUUCUGAAUCUGACUUAUAUAACUUGGCAUGAUGUUCCAUUGAUAUACCAGCAAAUGAAAUAAUUUCAUUUUUCUUUAUGGCUGAGUAGAACUCCAUUGUGUGUGUGUAUAUAUCACAUGUUCUUAAUCCAUUCAUCCUAUUGGUCAGCGCCUAGGCUGGUUUCAUAACUUGGCUAUUGUGCUAUAGAAUACUGAUUUUGGAUUUUUACAUAAUUACCAAGAAGUGGGAGAGCUGGACCAUAUGUGGUUCCAUUUAGAGUCAUCUCUACACUGCUUUCCAAAUUGGUAGUACUAGUUUGCAGUGCCAUCAACAAAGUAUUAACAUACUUUUUCUCCCACAUCCUCAACAAUUAUCCUUAUUUAUAUUCUUGAUAAUUGCCAUUCUGGCUGUGGUAGUAUGAAAUCUCAGUGUCGGAGGCCACCCUGCGCAGGAGCAAAGGACACCCCGUUAGCCUUGAAUAAUGAAGUAUUGAACUGGCAUCGCAAGCCACACACUGUGCGAAGCAAAGUGGGCCUUACCUUCGCUCUGCAGGGAAGUGCUUCAGCUCUGGGCUUGAGGAUUACCCAAAGGGAUUGGGCAACCCCGCUUCUGAAAUUCUAUCCCCUACCUUAUUUGGUUGGAAUAUUCCAUCGAAUGUCUUUUCCUAAUAAAUAGAGGGGUUCCUGGUGCUCUCUUGCCUUUGAGCGUGGAAGAGGACCCUAGAGGCCCUGAGAAACUCAUGUCGUGUGUUGCAUGAACUGUUUGCCAUUUUCUUAUCUUGAUGUUGCAGCCAGCUCUUUUGAAUGUGGAUUUUCCUCUGUGCCUUUAAUCCAUUUCUAGUUCAAUUUUAUGUGCUGUGUAAGAUCCAGCUUUUCACUUUUAUGUACUGUGCAAGUCCAGCUUCAUUCCUUUGCAUGUAAAUAUCCUCUUUCCCAGCACCAUACGUGGAUGAGACUCUACCUUCCCUAUUGUCAGUUCUUGGUGCCUUUUGGUGAUUGACUAUGUGUGCAUGGGUUUGUAUCUGAGUUUUCUCUUGUGUUCCAUAUUCAUGUGGUAUUCUCUACUCUCUUCUUUGUGUCAGUUUUCAUGUCAGUAUCUGAGUGGAUUAUGAGAAUCUUACAAUAUAUUUGAAAAUAAUUACUAUAAAACCUCUUCUUUGUUCUUCUUUUCUCAGGANUUAGCUUGAUGUUGCAGCCAGCUCUUUUGAAUGUGGAUUUUCCUCUGUGCCUUUAAUCCAUUUCUAGUUCAAUUUUAUGUGCUGUGUAAGAUCCAGCUUUUCACUUUUAUGUACUGUGCAGGUCCAGCUUCAUUCCUUUGCAUGUAAAUAUCCUCUUUCCCAGCACCAUACGUGGAUGAGACUCUACCUUCCCUAUUGUCAGUUCUUGGUGCCUUUUGGUGAUUGACUAUGUGUGCAUGGGUUUGUAUCUGAGUUUUCUCUUGUGUUCCAUAUUCAUGUGGUAUUCUCUACUCUCUUCUUUGUGUCAGUUUUCAUGUCAGUAUCUGAGUGGAUUAUGAGAAUCUUACAAUAUAUUUGAAAAUAAUUACUAUAAAACCUCUUCUUUGUUCUUCUUUUCUCAGGAGGAGAUGGCUAUUUAUUACCUUUUGUGGUGUCAUAUGAAUUAAAGGAUUUUCUUUCAAUAUCUAGUAAAAUUGCCAUUGAUAGAUUGACAGGAAUGUCACUGAAUCUCUUGCUUUGGGUAGCCUGGACAUCUUAACUAUCUUUAUUUUUCUAAUCCAUAAGCACACUAUAUCUUUAUAUCCAUGUAUGUCUUCAGUUUUUCUCAUCAAUGUUUUAUAAUUUGUAUGAUACAUGUAAAUUUGCUUUCUUUGAAUUCAUUUGGCUCAAUUUGCUCCGAAGUGUUUUGUUCUUUUUGGUGCAAUUGUAAAAAGAAUAUUACUAUUUGGGUUUUUUUUUUUUGAUAGAUGAUUAUUAAGGAUAUAGAAAUGCAUCUGCUUUUCUCAGGUGGAUUUUGUCUCCAGAACCUUGACUGAACUUGUUAAUUAGUUCUAACAGUUUUCAUUGGUAAAGAGUGUAGCAUUCUCUAUGAAGAGGACUUGUCCUCUGCCAACAGAGGCGGCCCUUCCUUGUUCCUUCCUGGUUUGGAUUCCUGUGGUUUCUUUUUCCUCUCAGAUUCCUCUGUCUGGGGUCUUCAGCACUACAUGGAACAGACAUUGCUGCAGUGUGGGCAGCCUCACCUUGGUCAUGAUCUUAAGGAAAAGCCACUACAUACAUACAUACAUACAUACAUUUUUCGGCCACUACAUACAACAUUUGAUGUGGUAGAUCCUGUGUGACCUUUAUUGUCUUGUGGUGCAUUCCUUUUUACCUAAUUUUUGUAGGCCAUCCGUCAUGAAAGAGUGUUGAUUUUUUUCAGAAUCAUCGUUCUACACCUAAUGAGAUAAUAUGAUUUUAUCUUUCAUUCUGUCAGUACAGUUGACCACAUUGAAUUAUUUUUGUGCUUUGAAACAUUUUUGCAACUGGGAUAAAUCUCAUUUGGUCCUAGUGCAUGAUUUAAUCAUGUUCUGUUGAAUUUAUUCUACCAGUAUUAAGGAUUUUUCUGUCUAUGGAAAUGAGGUAUAUUGCCCUGUACCUAUAGGUUUUGCUAAUAUUACAGUAACUGUACAAUCUGGCCUAUUCAAAGCUCAUCCAAGUUGUAUUAAGAAUCCUCCUUCUCAGACAGGAAAGAGAAAGCUAAGCACAUCCCCACCAUAAUUCCUUUCUAUGAACCUGAACUCGCCCUUCUGUGCUGUUCCAGGGAUGGACCCCACACAUUGAGCAAUCGCUGUGGGAGGCCAGGCCAUAAUACUCAAUCUGUCACCUGGUACCAUUAGUCCUGCACCAAAUCCUGUGGGGAAAAGCCACAGAAGUUCUCAUUUGCAUUUACUGCAGAUUUACAUCACUGAUGUGUCCUUUAUCAAAUGAGAUCCUCUGUAGAGACACCCUGAACACACCAAUGUAUUCAUAUAACAGCUUCCUUGACUUCUGUCUUUGUGGACACAGAUAGACCCACCUCAGCAGCCACAGCAUUUCCUGGAGGGUGGGGAGCAGAUGCGGCCAUCCACCCCCUCUACAUGGAAGUUACUGAAGGCUCCAGUUCUGGCCAUUUCCAACAGUGCUGGCAGGAUAAGUACCUAGCUUUCGACAUGCUGGAUGAAGGAAGGGACACAUGCUAAGGACUUGGAAGGGUGCUCCCAAAUGAUUCUGAGGAGUAUCCAUGGUCACAUCUCCCAGGGGAUCUGCCCAGGCCUCUGUCUCCUGUAUUCUCACCAGGGCUGUUCAGCACCAGCCUUAAAACCUGCCCAUUCAGUGGGGACAAACAACCUCUCAGUAGUAAGUGUGUUGACCAUGGUGUGUCAACAUUCAAAGGUUCACAGUUACUAUGCGCAGUGAUUCGUUUUUGAAUUGCAGGAAUUUGUUCUUUGUCCCCCUAGAAAAAUGAUUUUCUCAUGAAGUUUGAUGUGUCCCUGGGAUGUUAAUCUUAUAUCAGUCUAGGUUUUUUGGGGGGAGGGUCCAAUUUUAUUUUAAGUUUUAUUUAUAUUUCACAGCAGAAUGCAUUAAAUUCUUAUUACAUAUAUAGUGCACAAUUUUUCAUGUCUCUGGUUGUUUCAGAAACACUUUGCUAGUUGUAACUUGUCUUUCUAAGUAUGUAUGUUCUUUUUGUUUUUCGAUCAGGAGUCAGUCAUUUCCUUUAUGACUUCUGACCCUUGAGUCAGAAAAAAAAAUGCUUUCAACAUAAAUGUUAUCAAAGUAUUUUCUAAGAAGCUUUCAUUUUACAUAUACACUUAGACCUGCUAGAUGAGUAGCACAUAACAAUAUCCCAGUGAUUUAGGAGGCUGAGGAAGGAGGAUUUAAAGUUGGAGGUCAGUUUCCCCAACCUAGGGAGCUCCUCAGGAACUUAGUGAGACUCCAUCUCAUAAAGAAAAAAAAAAAACUGGAGAUGAGGCACUCACUAAAUGCCCCUGGGUUCAAUUUCUAAUACUAAUUAAAAAAAAAAAAAAACUAAAAAUCUUGGAUCUCUAUGGCAUUUACUAUUCAAAGAAAAUUAAUUAACAGUCCCUGCCAAUAUUGUGUGGACAAACACAAAAGUCCGACUACAAUGACAUGAAAAAGCCAGAAGAGAAAGAUCAGAGGGAGGGUGUUCCCUGGAGACAAGCAGGAGGGAGAGCAGGUGUGGGUGGGUGUGGGUACCAGACACAGGACAGUGUAAUGCACUUAAAGACAAUUAGCUGAACUUUUUAAAAAAAAUAUUACAUUUUAAAAUAAAUUAGUUUCAAUAAAAAUAGAAAAAGAAAAAAAGAAAAGGAGAGGUAAAGGGCAGUUCUGGGAUGGGAGCUGGUGCAACGGGGGUGCUCAGUCGGUGGUCCAGGCUGUGUUCCCACUGGGAGCCACAGAUCUGUUUCUGAACCUGGAGCUCUCUCUCAAGUGGUGGGUUGGUAAUUCAAGAUGAGCUGGACUUUCGUAUCUUUUAUCUUAUGUUUACGAUCUACUGCAAGUAUGUAUGUUUCUAAGUGCUUUAUUAUUCUACUUGGCUUGUUGAUAUUACUAUAAAUGAUGUCUCCACAUACUCUCUUGUUCAGCACUGGUGUGGAGAAUCACAAACUCUAAUGACAGGGAGCUGGACAUUUUUGGUUUUGCCUGCUGGAUAUGUUCCCUGUUACAAAGCAGAUUUAUCUUUUCUCCAGGCAUUGGACAUUAGUAGUAGUAGUAGUAGUAGUAGUAGUAGUAGUAGUAGUAUUUUUUUAUUUCCAAGUAACACUGCUUUGAGGCAAAGCGUUUAAGUGUUUAGGGCAGCCACAGUAAACCAGCAAGAGGCUGACACAAAAUGAAAAAGGAAAAGACCAUGGAUGUAGCUCAGCGGUAAUGUGCCCCUGGGCUCAAGCCCAGUAACAAAAAGUCAAAAUAAAAAACAUAAAAAACAUAGAUCUCUAUGGCGUUUGUCCUUCUAAGGAAACAUAAUUAGUCCCUUCCAACUUUACACAGCCCAGAAGAAAUCAGACUGCACUGGUUUAAAAAAUGCAGACUCAGCAUAUCACAGGACUAGAAGCUAAGUGGUCGCUGGGGACUAGCAGGAGGUUGGGGAGGCAGUGAUCAUAGAUACCAAAUUCCGGAAGACGUUCUGGAACUGCAUAGUGGUGACUAGUGCACAGUUUAGAGAAGGCACUUGAUGCCAAAUGACUGCGUCUUUUAACAAUGAAAAUAAAUCUUUAAUUCUAAAUAAUAAAAUAAUAAACACAGAUAAUAAAAACGAAUAAACAAAUGAGCUGGGAGAAGAACAGAGGCUCUGGGUUCCUGUCUGGAUGCAGUGCUGACUGAAGGGCCAGCAGGGUGUGUUGGCCUUGAUCGUCCACUGCAGGUUCGUCCAGCUCCAGUUCUCUAUCAGAUGGUACAGAUGAUGGACAUUGAACUGGAGCUUCCACAAGCACUAAAGCUGCUAGAGGAGUAAAGGUCCACAGACUAUCCACGUUAGGUCCAGGGACAGAAUAUUCCCUACUGCCUUUCAUACAAUUCCACACACAAACCCAACACCAGGCAGUGUUCCCAGAAUGCACACAGACAAUGACAGCUCUGCCUCUCAUUGUUCCUGCCCCGCCCCAGUUCCUGUGCAGUAUGCUCUGCUUGUCCCUCCCUGUCCCAUUCUGACAUACUCAUAACCCCACCUCAGUCCUCCUCACCUUCAGCCUGUUCCUCCAUGGGCUCAGGGUUUUCUGUCAAGGCUGGGACCUGGUGUCCGUGGUCCUCCUCCUCGGGGCUUGUGACAGUGACCUGGCUGUGCACAUUACCAAGUGGGUAGUGAGGCAAAUGCAAGUGAGGGAGUGAGGAGACCACCCAAGAGGGAUGGGGGGGGCAACAGUAUGAGAGGCCUGGCCUUUCCUACCAUGAGGUCAGUGAUCUUGGCACCCCACAGGUCAGAGGAGAGGGCUGAAGCUCAGAGAGUCACAGGGCCAGUAUCAGGACUCACAGCUGUAUGUGACCCUGUCACCCUGGGCAGGGCUUACCUUCCCAACAUUUGGCCCAUCUCUUGUUGGGUGGAGGAACUCGAGAUAUUUGAUGCCAAAGAGGAUGAUUGAAAGAACAUGGGCUCCAGGGUCUCCUCCAGGUUCCCCAGGGAGUACGCCUGGAACACAUAUCCAAUGCUGGUAUCAUCCCCUCUGUAGCCACCUUCUUGGUUGGGACAUUGAAGAAACAGAGUCAGUGCCAAACUGACCCACCAGAAGUGUCUGGGGGUGGAGUCCAGUGCAAUAGCAAAAGCAAAUAGGGGCUUGUCCCACAGAGGGACAGGAGAGCCCCAGCAGGGCAAUGGCAGAGUUCACAGUAGAAUUGCUGAGGGGAUAGUUAGAAACACAGCAGCUUCAGGCCAGUGUGUUAGCUGAGCAGAGGUGGCAGCUCUGUGCAUUUAGGAGCUUAUCCCCUGAGUCCCACCAGCACACCACCUUCUGGAGAUGGGAAAACGGGCUCAUCCCAGACAGGAGGGUCCCUGUGUGAGGACACCCAGAACAUCAUUCUCUGUGGUGCUGUUGAAAUGGCUCCAGAACGGAAUGAGGUCCAGGUCCCACAGCCCUGAAAGGCUGAAUGACUGUGGAACCUGGGUCCCCCUGGAAGGUGGUGAGGUCCUGGGGGCUCAGCUCCUACUUUCCCAGUCUGUGUUCCUUGAGAUAACAAGUACCAGAGAAAUGGACCAAUUGGCAUGAGCCUUGUAGUGUUUCAGCUAAACUCAUCCCUAGUAAUCCUGAUGAUGUGUAAGACUUGGAGAGAGUGUGGAAGGACCGUCAGGCCAUUGUCACCUGGACACCUGGGUGUUGGAGUUAUAGUCAGUUGGGUGGCAGAGUACAAAUCAUCAGAGAAUUAAAAUGAAAUAAUGUCCAUGUUGCUGUUCUGUUGUUGUCAAAAUUAUGGGAACAGUGACCUUGGAUGAGUCCAAGAACGAGGCAGGCAGAGAGGGUGAGGAGGAUGGGUGAGGAUUUGUUGUUCAGAUUCCUCAUGGUGGGGACUCUGCCCCUCCAUCUCCCAUCCCUACCAGGAAGGUGGUCCUGGUGGUGUCUGUGCUCUUAUUCUUUAGAAAUUUCCAUCCAAUGAAGGUCAAGAGGGUCAGGACAGGUGAGGUAACUCGAUCCCUGGGGAUGUAGGAAGGCAUGCCCUGGGGGAUGGAAGUCCAAAUUUUAAUGCUCCAGUAGGUUGAAUUGCAGGAUUUAUUGCCCUUAAAUCUUGUAUUAACCUCCAAUUACCUGAAUUUUUCUUAAUUACAAAAAUGGAUGUGUUCCAAGGGCUAAGUGUAGGCUCUGAAUGACCAGCUUUAAGCUAUUCUUUGACUCAAAUAUGAGCUAUUUUAAGUUUUUCCCCUGUUACAGGCCACUGACUAACCCAAAUUGGCUCUUCUGUGAGCCAAGUGAUCUUUUUUGCUACCUUUAUUUUUAGAGAGAGAGAAGAGAGAGAGAGAGAUUGAGAGAGAGAGAGAGAGAAUUUUUUAAUAUUUAUUUUUUAGUGAUUGGUGGACACAACAUCUUUGUAUGUGGUGCUGAGGAUUGAACCCGGGCCGCACGCAUGCCAGGUGAGCGCGCUACCGCUUGAGCCACAUCCCCAGCCCUUCUGCUACAUUUUGUACCGGGAAAAAGUAAGGGCCCCUACCAAAAAUUUUGGUUGGGUGCAUUAAUUAAUCUCUGUCGAGGAGACUGGUUCAUAAGUAGAGAUUCAUCCUGUAAAUUUCUUUCACUAUCCCUAGGAAUAAACCAUUGAUUAAAUUUCUCAGAUGACUUGAUAGAAUUUGGAGUUACUAAUAAUAAUCCUAAACUGCUUAGGAUAUCUCUUCCCCAUAAGUUUACUGGUAAAGAAUCUAAAUCAUAUGUCUUAAAAAUUUCAGUAUUUCCAUCUCAGUCCUCCCAGUGAAGAUAUUGGGCACUCUGGGCAGGCUGACAAAUCUGUCCUAUUUCUUCUAAAUUGGCUGGCGCAGUAUGGAAAGGCCAGGUUUGGGGCCAAAAUCAGUGAGACAAAACUGAUUUAUCUACUGCCUUUCAUAAAAUUCCACGCACAAACCCAACACCGGGCAGUGUUCCCAGUAUCUAUAACUCCUUGAAAUUUUUUAUGAUUAAUUUUUAAGUUCCAAUAGGGGGUGCUCCUGCCAAACUAAUUGGGCCCAGUAUGCUCCGCCUGGCGAUUUGGAAAUUGAGAUUUUAUCCGGACUGUCCACGGAGCUGCAGGGUAAAAGAAUUAAUUGGGCUAGCGCGUUUUUAGUAGAAAGCUGAAUGGCAUAUUCUGAUUUUACAGUAACUGUUAUUUCACCUCUAAAACAAGUAUCAAUAAUUCCCAGUAAUACUUGGAUUGACUCUUUAAAUUUCAUUCCAAAAUUAAUCCUAUAGUGCCUGGGGGUAAUGGCCCAUGAAUUCUGGUAGGAAUCCGCUGGGGUCCCAUUUCAGGUGUUAACAUGGCUAGUUGAAAGAGUACUGUGUGGGUGGUGCCUGCUAGUAAAAAUGGCGGUCCGCCAUGGCCAGCUAUCAUGACAUCAGAGCUUGUGACUCCUCCAAAUCCCCUUCUGUUUGGCAGGCCUGGGGAAAGGCAGGGUUAACUAGGACAUGUGAGGUAACUCAAUCACUGGGGAUUUAGGAAGGCAUGCCCAUGCAAGAAGACACAUUUGCGUUUUUCUGCCCUCAAGAUGGGGGCUAUUGUGUUCAGCUACUUAAAAGUAGCCACAUCACCGGGGUGACCAUCAGUGCCAUAGCUAAUCAGGAGGGGAAGCAAACGCUGGUCACAUGCUAUGGCAGCCUCCAACAAUGGAGCAAGAGCCUGUCUCAAAAUGAAAAAGGAACAAGACCAUGGAUGUAGCUCAGUGGUAAAAUGCCCCUGGGUUCCAGCCCAGUAACAAAGAAAUAAGAAUAAAAAAUAAAAAAACGUAGAUCAGUGUGGCAUUUUCCCUUCUAAGAAAACAUAAUUAGUCCCUUCCAACGUUACACAGCCCAGAAGAAAUCAUACUGCACUGGUUUGAAAAAUGCAGACUCAGCAUAUCACAGGACUAGAAAGCUAAGGGGUCACUGGGGACUAGCAGGAGGGAGGGGAGGCAGUGGUCAUGGAUACUGAAUUCCAGAAGACAUUCUGGAACUACAUUGUGCUGACUAAUGUACAGUAUAGAGAAGGCACUUGAUGGCAAAUGACUGAGACUUUUAACAAUGAAAACAAAUCUUUACUUUUAAAUAAAAUAAUAAACACAUACAAUAAAAAUGAAUAAACAAAUGGCCUGGGACAAGACCAGAGGCUCUGGGUUCCUCUCUAGAUGCAGUGCUGACUGAAGGGCCAGCAGGAUACGUUGGCCUUGAUGGUCCAAGGCAAGUGCGUCCAGCUCCAGUUCUCUAUCAGAUGGUGGAGAUGUUGGACCUCGAACGGGAGCUUCCACAAGCACCAGAGCUGCUAGAGGAGUAAAGGUCCACAGACUAUCCAUGUUAGGUCCAGGGACAGAAUAUUCCCUACUGCCUUUCAUACAAUUCCACGCACAAACCCAGCACCAGGCAGGGUUCCCAGAAUGUAUGAAGACAAUGACAGCUCUGCCUCUCAUUGUUCCUGCCCCGCCCCAGUUCCUGUGCAGUAUGCUCUGCUUGUCCCUCCCUGUCCCAUUGUGACAUACUCAUACCCCACCUCAGUCCUCCUCACCUUCAGCCUNACAGACUAUCCACGUUAGGUCCAGGGACAGAAUAUUCCCUACUGCCUUUCAUACAAUUCCACGCACAAACCCAGCACCAGGCAGGGUUCCCAGAAUGUAUGAAGACAAUGACAGCUCUGCCUCUCAUUGUUCCUGCCCCGCCCCAGUUCCUGUGCAGUAAGCUCUGCUUGUCCCUCCCUGUCCCAUUCUGACAUACUCAUACCCCACCUCAGUUCUCCUCACCUUUGGCCUGUUCCUCCAUGGGCUCAGGGUUUUCUGUCAAGGCUGGGACCUGGUGUCCUUGGUCCUCCUCCUCGGGGCCUGUGACAGUGACCUGGCUGUGGACAUUACCAAGUGGGUAGUGAGGCAAAUGCAAGUGAGGGAGUGAGGAGACCACCCAAGAGGGAUGGGGGGGGCAGCACUAUGAGAGGCCUGGCCUUUCCUACCAUGAGGUCAGUGAUCUUGGCACCCCACAGUUCAGAGGAGAGGGCUGAAGCUCAGAGAGUCACAGGGCCAGUAUCAGGACUCACAGCUGUAUGUGACCCUGUCACCCUGGGCAGGGCUUACCUUCCCAACAUUUGGCCCAUCUCUUGUUGGGUGGAGGAACUCGAGAUGUUUGAGGCCGAAGAGAAACAGUCAUAGAAGAAGGCAGGCUCCAGGGUCUCCUCCAGGUCCCCCAGGGAGUACGCCUGGAACACAUAUCCAAUGCUGGUGUCAUCCCCUCUGUAGCCACCUUCUUGGUUGGGACAUUGAAGAAACAGAGUCAGUGCCAAACUGACCCACCAGAAGUGUCUGGGGGUGGAGUCCAGUGCAAUAGCAAAAGCACAUAGGGGCUUGUCCCACAGAGGGACAGGAGAGCUCCAGCAGGGCAAUGGCUGGCAGAGUUCACAGUGGAAUUGCUGAGGGGAUAGUUAGAAACACAGCAGCUUCACCCCAGUGUGUUAUCUGAGCAGAGGUGGCAGCUCUGUGCAUUCGGAGCUUAUCCCCUGAGUCCCACCAGCACACCACCUUCUGGAGAUGGGAAAACGGGCUCAUCCCAGACGGGAGGGUCCCUGUGUAAGGACACCCAGGACAUCAUUCUCUGUGGUGCUGUUGACAUGGCUCCAGGACAGAAUGAGGUCCAGGUCCCACAGCCCUGAAAGGCUGAAUGGCUGUGGAACCUGGGUCCCCCUGGAAGGUGGUGAGGUCCUGGGGGCUCAGCUUCUACUUUCCCAGUCUGUGUUCCUUGAGACAGCAAGUACCAGAGAAAUGGACCAAUUGGCAGGAGCCUUGUGAUGUUUCAGCUAAACGCAGCCCUAGUAAUCCUGAUGCUGUGUAAGACUUGGAGAGAGUGUGGAAGGACCGUCAGGCCAUUGUCACCUGGACACCUGGGUGUAGGAGUUAUAGUCAGUUGGGUGGCAGAGUACAAAUCAUCAGAGAAUUAAAAUGAAAUAAUGUCCCUGUUGCUGUUCUGUUGUUGUCACAAAUAUGGGAAUUGUGACCUUGGAUGAGUCCAAGAACGAGGCAGGCAGAGAGGGUGAGGAGGAUGGGUGAGGAUUUGUUGUUCAGAUUCCUCACGGUGGGGACUCUGCCCCUCCACCUCCCAUCCCUAUCAGGAAGGUGGUCCUGGUGGUGUCUGUGCUCUUAUUCACUUUUAUUCUGCUCUGUGCCCUGCCAGUAGAGUCCCCCCUGUCCCGCACUUAUCCUGAGGCCCAGCUCCUGCCCAUUGGUGCUUGGCUCUGGAUAUUCCUCAGUGGACGUGGGGUUGGAGCUGAAGCUGCAGCUCCAGUGCUUAUUGAGGAUAAACUGUGGAAAGAAUGGAAGACAGUGCCUGGUAGCUGGCCGGGAGCCCCAGCCCCUGCUCGCCUCCAUUCAGGGUGUUUGUGUCUCUUGUGGCCUUCUGCUCCCCCGACCUAAUACAGACCCUGUGUCUCAGGUUUUACCCUGUAAGACAGGAAAUGAUACUGGGUGCCCAGGCCGUACCGUGGACACUUUCAUUCCCCACCUUUUUCCCUGUCCUGGGGGUGACCAUGAUAGGACACGAGGCUCACAAUCUCCCACCACCUUUUCCUGCCUCAGGUCCCUGUUCUCCCCUACUGAGGAGCAAGGUGGUGGGACUCUGCAGGGCUACUCACAGUGAUGUUCUCUCCUGGAUGUACCUCACCAGGGCUAUCAGGUGUGGACCUAAAGCUACUCCUCCCACUUUCAGGUGUGCCAAUUGGAGGAGGACCAUCAGCGAGGCACAGGCAGCAGCACAUGAAGCAACUUCGCAGUUGUUUCCAAAAGUUUCUUCUUUUGGGUGUCCAGUGGAUUGGGUCUGGGGAAGGGGCCGUGCAGCCAUAGGGGGAGCUCUGGCGACGUGGCCUCCUAAAGGGUCGGCCUCCACAGGGGAAGCAGGACAACAUGUUUUGGCUUUCAAAGUAUUUCACCAAAUGAGCUGGGAGGAGGCUGUUGCUAGAAUGUGGGUGCCUGGUUACUGGGUUCCAAGUUCUGUUUGACUCUAUGACCAAGGAAGGGGGCCCAUGUCUUGGGGUUCCUGGCCUAACCCAUCCUCCAGAUAAGCCCAUGUUUGUCCCUCUGUUGGCUCUCCUCCAGCCCCAUGCCAUUGCCAUAUGUUUACACAGCCAACCCCAACACUAGCCCCACAUCCCUUGGCAGGCAUGGGUGUAGCCAGGGUCCCAGCUCUGAGGAGACACAUCUAGGUUUCAACCCUGCUCCUCCUCCUGUCCUCUCAUGUGACCUUGGACAAGUCAUCAUGUCUCUAAGGCUUGCCCAGUGUCCCCCUGCACAGUGUCUACUUCCUAGCACUGUCACCAGGCAUAUCUGACAUAACACUUAGAAACGAUGUUGUCAAAUGUCUGUAAUGCACAAAAGUAGAGAUAAAAUAUGGAAACAGGUGAAAUUUUAACGUAGAAUAGAGCUAAGGACAGGCCUAGUCUCCUGCCUGCUGACUUUGAAAAUGCCAUUUUCCUUCCUGGCCUUCUUUCUCUGUCUGCAUCUUGAGGGGGUUGAAAUGCAAUUAGUGGGGAUAUCCUCAUCUCCCAGAGCCACCCACCUUGUUCUCUUUGGGAUGAGAGUAAGCACAGUCACAUUUAGUAAAUGAAUGAGCAAGAAUACCUUCACCUCCAUCACCCUUUCUACUCAAGUCCCAUCAAAAUAAUAAUAAUAAUAAUAAUAAUAAUAAUAAUAACCCUUCAAAAGAUCACUGUGAAGAACUCCAUACCAGGUAGGUACAGAACAUAUUCAAAAAUCUAUAACUAUGUGUAUUUGUAACUCUGUAGCAAAAUUACCUGAAAUUUUGUGGCUUAAAACAGAGAAAUUUAUUUUCUCAUGGUUCUGGAGGUGAGAAAUCUCAACAUGCCACAGGGCCAUGUUCCCUCUAGUCUCUAAACAACAAUCCUUUCUGAUCUUUUUCAAUUUUUAAUGGCCCUAUGUUUUCCCAGGUUUAGGACAGUGUCACUCCAAACUCCACCUCCAAUCUUCACAUAGCCUCCUCCUUAUUCUGUGUCCUCUCCUCUUCUUGAAGGGACACUUGACAUUAGAUUUAGAGCCCAUUCAGAUAAUACAGCAUGAUCAUCAUGAUCUCAUCUUGAGAUCCUUAAUUACAUGUGCAAGGAUCUUUUUCCAAAUACAGUUAGAUUCACUCAUUCUGAGACAAACCCACAGAAUACAGUUACUCAUACUAGACAAAGGUGCCAAAAACAUACAUUGGAGAAAAGAUAGCCUCUUCAAAAAAUGGUGUUGGGAAAACUAGAAAUCCAUAUGAUGCAAGAUGUAAUUAAACUCCUCUCUCCCUGCACAAAACUCAACUCAAAGUGGGCCAAGGACUUAGGCUUUAUAACAGAGACCCUACACCUAAUAGAAGAAAAAAGGAGACUGAAAUCUAUGUCAGCUUAGGAACUGAGUUCCUUAUCAAGACUCCUAAAGCACAAGGAGUAAAAUCAAGAAUUAAUAAAUGGGAUGGAAUCAAACUAAAAACCUUCAUCACAGCAAAGCAAACAAUCAAGCACAUGAAGAGAGAGCCUACAAAAUCAGAAAAACUCUUUACUUGCACCUGCACCUCAAAUACAGCAUUAUUCUCCAGGAUACAUAAAGAACUCAACAAACUCAACAACAACAACAACAAAAAUAACCCAAUGAAGAAAUAAGCAUCCAGCAGCUAGAGAGGCUGGGAUGGGAAGAUCACAAGUUCAAAGCCCAGCCUCAGUAACCGCAAGGUGCUAAGCAACUCAGUGAGACCCUAUCUUUAAAGAAAAUAUAAAAUAGGUAUGGGGAUGUGGCUCAGUGGUUGAGUGCCCCUGAGUUCAAUUCCCAGUAUCAAAAAAAAAAAAAGGAAAUAAUCAAAGGAACUAAACAGAUACUUCACAAAAGAAGAAGUAUGAUCAGAUAAAAAAUAUGAGAAAAUGUUCAACAUCUCUAGCAAUUAGAGAAAUGCAAACUAAACUAAAACCAUACAAGUAACAGCAAAUGUUUGCAAGGAUGUGGGAAAACAAGUACACUCAUACAUUGCUGGAGGGACUACAAAUUGGUGCAACCACUCUGGAAAGCAGUAUGGAGAUUCCUUAGAAAAGUUGAAAUGGAACUACCAUUUGAUCCAGUUAUCCACUUCUUGGCUUAUACCCAAAGGACUUAAAAUCAGACUACUACAGUGACACAGUCACAUCAAUGUUUAUAGCAGAUCAGUUCACAAUAGCCAAACUAUGGAGCCAAUCUAGGUGCUAUUCAACAGAUAAAUGAAUAAAUAUGCGGUAUAUAUACACAAUGGAAUAUUAAUAAGCAAUAAAGAAGUAUGAAAUUAUGGCAUCUGCUGGUAAAUGGAUAGAACUGGAGAAUAUCAUGCUAAGUGAAGUAAGCCAGUCCCCAAAAUCUAAAGGUCAAGGCUUCUCUCUGUUAUGUAGAUGCUAACCCAUAAUCAGGUACAGUAGGCACAGGAAGUAUAGAAGUUCACUGGAUUAGGCAAAGGGAAAUGAAGGGAAGAGAGGGGAGAUGGGGAAAGGAAAGGCAGUAGAAUGAAGCACACAUUACUUUCCCAUGCUAAUAUACGAAUACACGACCAGUGUAACUCCACAUCAUGUUCAACCACAAGAAUGGGAUCAAAAUUAUAAUGGGUUGUACCCCAAGUAUGUAUGGUAUGUCAAAAUACAGUUGACUGUCCUGCAUCUCUAAAAACAAACAAACGCUGAAAGUGAGAUGUUGAGGAUUGAAGGUCAGUAGUCACCUGGUAAGACCAAUCCCAGCAGUUCACACUGUGCUUUAUUCUGUUCACCAAAUAGGUCUUAGACCUGGGAAGUCUUCUUGUCAUACCUCACAGGAUGGCUCCACCUUAAGCCAAAAUGUGUUUGAAUUUUGUUAUUUCAUAGGCCCAACUUAGUUUUCCAUAAAGCAAAAUCAACAUUCAUCUUAUGGUGUACUUCAGUUUGUUAUUGUAGUUCCCUCUUAUCAAAAAUUUCAAUUUCUGUGGUUUCACUAAAAUGUGGUCCAAAAACAGUAAAUUUAAAACUACAGAAAAAAAAACCACUGUGUAAGUUUUAAAUUUUUCACAAUUCUUAAUACAAUGAUCAGGUAUUAAGAUUAGGUAGCAUCAUUCUCUAUCAUGACUAUGCCGUGAAUCAUCCCUUUGUCCUAUGAUGCAGGACGUGUAGUCGACCCACACAUUAGUUCCUAAACAGCCAUCUGGUCAUGAGGUAAACUGUGGUGGUUUGCACUGCUUGUACAUGGAGUUCAAUUCUAUCUGUAAUUUCAGGUUUCUACAUAGGAUAUUGAAAGGGAUCCAAUUCACAUUGAAGUCUUUCUCUUGGAACCAAAGAAGAACUGGAACAUGACUUUGAGAAACAUUUCUUUUUCCUAGGCUUCUCUGAUCUCUCUCAGCUAUAGAGACAUUGGGUUUUUUUUCAUCUCUACUUUUCAACAUAAACCAGUUCCUCCACUGAGUACCCUGAAACUUCCUGCCUUUUGCCCCAUUGCAAACUCUGUGGAAAAGAGCAUUUACUCACAUAGCUCCCUCUUCCUAAUACGCUGCAUGCCACACUGGAAUCUCUCCUCUAGAACACUAUGAUCCCCCAACAUGGCUCCAGCAUCAGUUCUGACUUUCUCCCCAUACAUUGAUUAAUUUGAGUCUCUGCUCUCCUGUGCUCAUCAGAGGUAGUUGGACAGUUUGUGUGUUCCUCCUCUGGCUUCUGCUCUGGAUCCUACUGGGUUGUUUUAGUGUUUCGGGGUGACAAUUCUCUACUGAAAAAGAAAAGGGUGACAAGUAUCUUUUAUAAACAUAUUAUUAAUUUGCUCUCAUAAGAGUGACCUCCAAUACUUGUGGCAGCUCUAGCUCCAGCUCCAUCACCAUCCUGAGAACCAGAGGAGCCGUUGCCAGAAACUCCUUCACCACCAGCUCCAGAUCUCAGGUACUAGAGGCUCAACAGCCAGUGCCAGCUCCUGAGCUGCACCUUGGACCUGCUAUGCCCAGAGCAGCCCUUCACCUCCCUUACCAUUUCACUUGUUUUCCUAUUAGUUUUGGUUAUUUUUUAUUUGCUGAUGAUUAAUUUUAAAUAAAAUUUAGUAGUUUACUCAUUUGAAAUAUUUAGUUCAAUGCAAUUAAGUGCAUGUUCAAUGUUGUAUAACCAUCACCAUUGUCUAGUUCCAGAAUAUUUUCCUCAAUCCUGUCCCCGCUCAUUGUCCUGGUUGGCCCCAGCAGCCACUCAUCAUUCUAUCCAUGUGUUGCAGAUUUGUAAUCAACAGAUAGUUGCCGGACAUCUGCUCUCUGCAUCACUGUGGGGAUGGAGGCAGAUGCAGGGCACUGUGCCACGUCACUUCUCACCCCUCCACCAAAUCAGAGACUCCUGGACUCUACCUGAUGUUUCCUGCCAACCUUACCAACUUUCAGGUUGGCCUUAUAGUGUCCUUGCCUCCCAUUUCAAGAAACGGAAGAUACAUUGUCCCCAUCAUGCUUUAAAGAAGACUGAAAUUAUGGCAAUAAUAAGACAAUCCCUCAAAAUACAAAGGCCAAAUGUUUUUUCUAACAUGUGGAUGCUAAUUGACAAUAAAGUGGGGGGCACUAGAGAAGAACAUCAUUACCUUAGACUAGGUAGAGGGAAAUGAAGAAAGGAGAGUGGAGGGGAUAUAGGAAUAGGAAAGACAGUAGAAUGAAACAGACAUUAUUACUGUAUUAUAUAUGUGACUACAUGAUUAAUAUGAUUCUGCAAUAUAUACUCAGAAAAAUGAGAAAUUAUAUCCCAUCUAUGUAUGAUAUAUCAAAGUGCAUAAAUGUCAUGUAUAACUAAUUAAAACAAAUUAAAAAUUAAUUAAAAAAGAAAAGGUAAGCCUCGGUUAGAUGGAACGUUCACAUCAUGUGGAUGUCUUUCUCUGUAUGUGCUUAUAUUUCUAAUUUCAUAGUCAGGCAUGGCCUAACAAUGGGGACUCUUUAUGAGAAAUGUAUCAGUAGGUGAUAUCGUCCUCUGAGAUCACUAUAGAGUGUACUUGUACAGGGGAAGAAGGCUAUGAUGUCACCAGGCAGUAUACUCUCAGGGGACCCCCAUCUUAUAUGCAGCCCAUCGCUGACUGUGAGGUUGGUAUGUGUUGCAUGCUUGUACAUCCAUAGGUCUUUGCCUCUGGACUGAGCCUUCAGAUGCUGGCAGGUUGGAUUUCUCUUUUUUCCUCCCCACCCUUCCAUCUCACUGUGCUCCCUAACACCAUUCUGCACUCAUCACUACCUAGUGGAUCAUCCCAGUUCCCUCCAUUAAAAGGCCGCCUCCAGUAGAAUGAGACAGACAUUAUUACUCUACAUACAUGUAGGAUAUAGUCAACUACUGGUGUGACCCUGCAUGAUGUACAGCCAGAGGAAUAAGAAGUUGUGCUGCAUUCAUAUACAGUGUGUCAAAAUGCAUUCUACUGGCAUAUACAACUAAUUAGAACAACAACAACAAAAUCCACACCUGGAUCUUCUCUGGAACCCUCCAGCAGGCUAGGGCUCCUUCACAUACAUUCUUCCAGAUGACACACCAGUUGUGGGAGCUGGUGACUUAGGAGGAUGACUGCCAGAGGGUAAGAGGGAGUGGGGACAGGGACGCUGAACUUGGCUUCUCCCUGCUGCACAUCACUUCUGAUGUAGGUGGAUCCCUCCUGGACACCAUCCAAUCCCUGCCAACAGCAGGUGGGGUCCUGGCUACCAACUCUUUAAUGCCCAAUAGUGAGCAGCAAGAGGACACUAAGUUUUAGCAAAUAGUCAUCUCCAGUCAUACCUCUCAGUAUCCAAGUGGGAUAGGUCACAGAACCCCUUGAAUACCAAAAUCACCAUAUGCUCUACUCCCUUAAAAAAUUGUGUAGAAUUUGCAUGUAACCUCCACAGUCUUCCUUCCAGAUACUUUAAAUCAAACUGAGAUUCUUUAAGAUGUAAAUGCUUUGAAAUGGUUGUCAAGGUCUUUUUUAGGGAAAAAUGACAAGGAAAAAAGUCUUUAAGUAUUCAGUAAUGAAGUGAAUAUUUUUUCAAACAUUUCCAUCUGAGGGUGGUUGAGUCUGUGGAUGCAGAAGCUGAGCCUACAGAAGGCUGACUACUGAUUACAGAGUCUUCUCUAGAAAGGCACAAAAUGGGCAGAACUGGACCCAGAGGCACCUUCUGGGGAAAUGAAGAAUAGAACCUUCAUCUCUCUCUAACUGUUGCCAGUCAUAGUGACUUGUGUCCAAGAAGCUGAGGGUUUGCAACCCCAGAAGGUGAGAGGGAGCUAGAGGAAAUCUUCCCCCAACGAUGCUGUGGAGGUCCCCAAUCCUCACUGCAUCCCUCAAACUUCCCUGCGGUCAGGAACGAUGGAAAACAUGCCCUAGUUUUCAAGAAGCCACCACUGAGUUAAGACAAGGGCAGCCCACUAGGGCAGAAAGCAGGGCUGGAGGAUGGAGGGGCAGGGCCAGAGCCCUUCCCACCAGGUCAGCUGUUGGGUAGGACAGCAAAGUGCAGGUUACUGUCAGCUAUUCAUCAGCCCACUCAGACCAGCCGGAGUCCCUCUUUGCUUCCUGGCCCCCACCCAGCUGUACAUCCCCCUGGGGACCAGUCCAGGCUCUGGGAGGACCACAGCCACGCACACCAGGAGAAUGUGCCAGGACAUGCUUUGGUUGGCACUGCUGGUCUGUCUGUGCUUGGGAAGCCCCACCCUGGGUCACAACAAAUAACACAAAUGCAUCCUUAUCACACAAGAACUGCACUGAAAAAAUGGAAAGAAACUUGUAUUACUGUGAAAAAACCACAUAAAUGAAAUUAACAAGCAGAAAUGUGAUAUACAUGUCUUAGCUCAGACUUUGGCUCACAUUUGCUGGGUUCACUCCCUCCUCAACAUCAGCAUCUCAUGAAUAUUCCACUAUGUGUUGCAAUGUUUUUCUCACUGUUUGUAUAACAUAUAAAACUAAAUAAAACCAUGCACAACAAAUUGGGAGUUGUCAUUAUUUUAAAAUGGCAGGAUCUGGCAGGUGCUGUCUUCUAAUGGUGGUCUGUGGGUGCCAUUAUGGACAGUGACAAUGCUGUGGUUUGGGUAAGUGCUCCCAAAGGUCCAAGUGUUGUCACCAUUUCAGUCUUGUCACCAUACUGAGGUGCCAUCAUGACCUGGUGGUAGCACUAUGAAGGAGUACUAACUGAAAAAAUUGGGGCUUCUAGGAGCAUUCUACUGAAGGGGAUAUUGUGACCCCAGCCUCUUUCUUUUUUGCUUCCUGGAUUGGCAAUGUUAGAGGCUUCCUCUGCCACUUACUCCUGCCACCAUGUACUGCAAAAUCCAAAAGAUCAACCGACCAUGGGCUGAAACCUCUGAAAUGAUGAACCAAAAUCAACCUUUACUCUUGUUAAAUUGAUUUAUGUCAGUAUUUGUCAGAGUAAUGAAAAGCUGACUAACAAGGCCAAUAAUGCCAAGGGCUCAGCAGAUGACAGGGAAAAAAUUUAAAAAAUGGGUCUUAUCAUACUCACUCUUCUGCAUCUUUGGAUGUCCCUCCAGGGUGUGGAAUCCCUCCAAUGCAGCUGGACAGCUUUAAUCCAUUCCUUCUCCAUUGACUGACACGAAUGCUAAUAAUGUGUAACAUGAACACCACCUAAAUGUUCCCUGUUGAUAAAAGAACAAUUUGCUAGCAGUUUUGACACAAUGUUCCAUAAACACCCUGGAACUUCCUGAUGUUUUAAUUUCUAUGUAAGGUUUCCUAGGAAUAUUUGCAUUUUUAAUUUUCCUGGAUGCUCUCAGGUGCUUUCCACUUAGGCUGCUCCUGUGAGGAUAUCGUAGGUGCAGAUGGCGGGUGGGUGCACAGUGCUGACUGGUGUGUCUUCAGUCAUCCUUCCCUGCCUGGGGGAACUGGGGUCUUCCCCAUGCAUGCUCUGGAUCUGCACUUAGGUCUCCUUUCUCAUGCCUCAUCUUCUCUAUGUCUUCUACUCCCUCUUCCUUUGCAAGGAAAGUGCCACUCGUGAUAAGCCCAUUAUGUCUGAAUGAGGCACAUUUAAAAAGACUUGCAAAGUCCCAGAUGGCUUUUACAAUCUUUAUUUUGCCAAACUUUUAAAUAGGCCCAUAAGAUUAAGCUUGGCUAUGGUCUCUGUCUCUAGAAUGGGGGUGAAGUAUUUGGAGAAGUCAAAUAUCAGUUGUGUGGUCAUUAUUCCCCUGCCCUCUGUCCCAGCUUAAUUCUAAUGAGAAGUCCUCUUUCUGGGAUAGUUAAGGAGGAAAGAUGGUGCAUAACCAAGUACCCAGGAAAUGCUCUGAACUUCUUUGCAGUCAGCCAGCAGUGUGAGCACAGGGAUGGAUGGUGUAGUAUCAGCUCCUAUGCUCACAGCCUCAUAUGCACAGCAGGUGUAUCAGUCAGCAUUCUUGGUGGCAAGUUACAGAAACCUGAAUUAUCUGCUCAUCUUCCCUUGGGUCGAGUGAGGUGUUUCCCCAAUAAGGAAGAAAUAAGAAAAUGUGAACUUUGUCCUGUGAGUAUGGACCAGAGAGUGGACCAUACACUAUGCUAAAUAUUGCCCAUACAUUAAAAACCAUGAGGUAGGAACUAUUAAUAUUUUCAGUUUACAGACGAGUUUGGCAGGUAAGACUGCUAAAAUUGAAGUCUGUGGUUUAGUGAUUUUGCCGUGAACAACUAUAUGUGUCAGCAGGUCAUAUUAAAUGCUGCAGCAUGUGGUUGUAUAGAAUGCAUGUAUGUCAUUUCUGGAGAGAUCCUUAGACAAGUUCCCUGUGGCUUUCGGAGGUGGGAUAAGUCUGGAUGUGGCAGAUUGAGAGCAAUGGGCUGUGUCUCUGAAGAUAUGAGUUCUUGGGUUUGGUCCUUAUUUGCUAUGUGGCCUGUCAUAUCUAAGUUUUAGUUUCUUCACCUUUUAAGGAAUGGGUUAAAUUUACCAACUGAGAUGAAAUGCACAAAUUCCUCAAAAUUUACAACUCAAAAUGAACAGAAGAAGAAAUAGAAAAUCUAAAUAUCCUUGCGUCUGUUUAAGAAAUUGAAUUUGGUAGGGUUGUGGCUCAGUGGUACGGCACUUGCCUAGCACAUGUGAGGCACUGAGUUUGAUCCUCAGCACCACAUAAAAUAAAUGAAUAAAACAAAGGCAUUGUGUCCAUCCACAACUAAAAACAUUUAAAAAAUUGAAUUCAUCAUUUAAAACCUCUUAUCUCCUCUUCUUCACAACUACAGGCAUAUUUCAUCAAAUACUUAAGGACUAAAUAAUGCCAAUAUUAUACAAACUCAGAAAAUAAAGAAGAGAAUUGCUUGCAACUCAUUAGGUCAACAUAAUGCUGUUAGAAAAUCUGAAAAGGACAUUAGAAAAAAGGAAAUCAAUAGAACAAUGUCUCUAACAUAGACAUAGAAUUCUUAACAAAAUGUUAUCAAAUAGAAUUUAUCAAUACUCAAAAACAUAAAUGAGUUGACAUUGGAACAGUUAGGUAAUUACCUUCCACUGUCCCGUAUCAAACCCUUGACAGACAUCACUAAUCAAUUGCUCUGUUGUUUUAUCUUCCAAACUGAAUCAUUCUCAGUCUCACUCUCAGGUAGCUUGUAUCAAGAUACUCUGAUUCUGUUAUCUUGUUGAAAAUCUGAGGUCAUUUUACAAGCAAGCCUUUCCCUCAAGUGGGGUGAAUUCUUCCAGAUUAGACAUGGAAGAGCAAGACAAGGAAAGGGAGUUGAGAGCAAGAAUGGGUUGUUUUGAGCAAUCCAUAGGAAGGAAGAAGCCAUACAAUAUUAAAUGCCUAAAAGGAGCCUAACCUUAUUUGUUCUCAUUUAUUGCUCUAUGGCCAGCCCCCAAGGACAAAAUGUGACACAUGAACUUGCAAGACUGGGGAGUGAAUGAAUGACUUCUGAGGGAAACUAAAAGUGGUUCCGUCUUCAUAGUGUUAUGGUUACUGCCUUUGAGUCAAGGAGACCCAGCCAUGAGUGAUGAGACAAGAGAUUGGGGUCCAUCCCAAGGGCUUCCAUGAGAGAUUUAUGCAUCUAUAGACCAAUUAUUCUUAGCUGAGUAACCAUAGUAGCCUUGUCUCUCCUUGGGAUCGUGGGCACCCAUAUCCGUUCACUCUGUUGAUAUUUGCCUGGCUGCCUCAAUCGUUUCUUAAGCUCCUAUUCUGUUUUAGAAUGUAUUGUCUUCCUGCUCUCCUUCCUCCCACCUGGUCUUUCUCCAGUGUUUGCUAUCUCAGUGAAACCAACAACCUCCCAUGCAGUUAUACAGGCCAGAAAUGUAGAUGGCAGCCUGCGUGUAUCUCUCUCCACUUCCUAAUUAGUUCUCAGACAUUCUACAUUUUUCUGUCUUCAUCACCACCAUCCUGCUCUGAGUUCCCCUCAUUCCUUGCUUGGAAGUUUGCAAAUGUGCUGACAGCUCUCUCUGCACCCACUCCACACCCUUGCCCAUGUGCAUCCUCCAGUUGCACCUGAGUGAUCUGGCCAAAAUGCAAAGUAGUUGAUUGACACCCUGCUUAAAGCCUGCUGGUGGCAUCUCACUGUUCCUAAGAGGAAGAACAAACCCUCCCAGCUGCUCUACAAAUCCUUGGGGAUCUGGUCGCUGCUGUCUUCAGCUGCAUCACAUGCCUCUCACUCCUGACUGUCUGUGUGUUCAUCUCACUGAGCAUUUAGAUCCUCCAACAGCAUGUUCUUACCCACUCUCUGUCUAGGACUCUCUUCUGCCUCCUAUUUAUCUGAUUAUAAUUCCUUCAGAAUUCUUGUUACUUUCUUGGGAAAGACAUCUCUAACCUUCAUCUCCACUCCUUUCCCAACAGGUUGUGGUAGACUCUCAAAGAAGGAGGCUGAGGCAGGAAGAUUUCAGGUCAGCAACUUAGGAGACCCUAUCUCAAAAUUAAAAGAAAAAAAAAAGAGAAAGAAAAAGGACUAGGUAGGUAGCUUAGUGACAGAACACCAUUGGGUUCAAUCCCUAGUAUUGCAGGGUCAGGACCAUAUCGCAUACUAUGGUCCAUGGAUGAAAUUUUGCCCUCUGCCUAUUGUAUAAAUAAAGUUUUAUUGGAACACAGUCAUGUUCAUUCAUUUACUUGUUGUCCUUGGCUGCCUUUGCAUUACAGGGACAUAGGAGAGUAGUUGCAAUGGAGACCAUAUGGCUUGCAAAUCUUGAAAUAUUUACUAGUUGGCCCUUCACAAAACAAAGUUUCUCAAGACCUGGGUUUGAGUCCCAGCUCCAACACUGACUUGCUGCAUGACAUUGAGAAAGUCAUGUUUCCUCUCUGGGCUUCAUCUCAUCAAUCAAAUGGAAAGAGUAACAGGAACCAUCUCACCUAAUUGUUUCAUGUGAUUGCUUUGCGCAUUGCCUGGCAUAUAGAGUAUGCUUAAUAAACAAUAGCUAUUUUUUUGGUGUUAAAUUGAUUAUUCAUUGAUUAACGCAUUAAACAAAUAUGCACUUGCCGUGUACCAGAUGGUCAUAUGUGAAUCCCCGAUUGGACCAAUAUUAAAUCCUUACCCUGGAGGAAUUUACUUAUGAGUGGGGAGAAGAGAUAAUAAAAAAAUCAUAACUAUUAUUAGUAGUACUAUAAACAGGGAAUGCCACUACUAGUGGUAAAAGGAAACCACUCUGUGGACCUAAGACAAAAAUAGGUACGUCUUUGGGGCUUGGCAGUAAGUUUUCUUCCUUCUCGCAGAUACCCUGGCAGCUCCUAAGAAAACGUGUUCAUCUUGGAUGCAGCUGACAGAGGUGGCAUGGAUGGGGCUGAGCUGGUGGAGAGACCGGAUUUCUCAAACCCAGGUUUCUACACCAAAUUAUUGAAAAGGAAACCUUAUCAAGCAGCCUUCCAGCUUGUUGUCAUCCAUCUUCCAAAGAAUUCAGUAGCCCUUGGUGGUUGAUGAUUUACGGGACAGUGGCCACGAGGAGGUUGCUUUUUGUAUUAAUCUGUAUUUUAUCAAAGAUCAGCAACCUGCUGGCUGGGGCCAGAAGCAGCAGGCUCUUUGUGGAAUCCCAUUAACCCCAGUCUUGGCUGCAGCCAGCUCUAGACUAGCAGAGGACUGCUGGCCACUUGGGCAGAUGAAAGACUUUGAUCAUUCUAAGUUGGGAGUUCUAGCUGUUGAAAGAACAGCUACCCUUUCUUAAUGGCAGCAGGGUUCUGUCUUCUCUAGAAAGAUGAUUUUAAGCCUCCAAGCCUAAAUUUGAUUAAUGUCACAGUUGUUUAAGGUUGAGGGGGGUCAUCCAUGCUUUGCCAAUGAAAAGGCAAAGCUUAUAGAUGGUUCCUUAUCUUAUGCCUAGACUGAGUAAGCCAAGGCCAAUGCCUGGGUCACUUGUAAGGAAACCUAGGGUGUCUGUUGUCUCAGAUGUCCUGGUUUUAGCUUUUGUGUUCUGGGCAUGCCAAGGCAAUCCUCAUGAAGCCAGGACUUUGUUCUCUCAUGUAUGACUUCAUUUGCAGCACCUAGUACUGGGCCUGGCACCCAGUAGGUGCACAAUAAAUAGGUUGAACAAAUUGAAAUGUGCCUGGACCUUUGCAUAUGUUGUUGUCUAGUCCUGAAAUGGUCUUCCCAUCCUGAUGCUAUUCCAGUUGUCCUUAAGGUCAUAGCUUAAAAGUCAUCUUGAGCCAGUCAAUGUCUAAACUGGAAAAUAGAAAUUAUGACAGUUAAUUUAAUACAGGAAAUGGCUAGAUACAUACUGAAAGAUGAAAGAGAAAAGAGAGAACACUGCCUGUUGUGUAAAUAAAGUUUUAUUGGAACACAGUCAUGUUCAUUCAUUUACUUGUUGUCCAGUUACAUAGUAACUGCUCUGGAUUAGCUCACACUUCUGCAUAACAGACCACCCCAAAACUAGCUUCUUAACCCAGCCAACCUUCAUUAUCCUAUUUUCUGUUGGCCUGGAAGCUGGGCAAGUCUUCAUCCUCUGCCUAAGGAUGCUUCAUAAAUCGACCACUGGGUGUCAGCUGAGGCUUUGGUCUCAUCCAAGGUCCCACCUGAGGAAGGAUCUGCUUCCAAUCUCACUCGAGUGGUCAUUGGCAGUCUCUUGUAGGCUCCUUGGACUGGAGACUUUAGUUUAUCAUUGUCAUUGGCUGGAGGACCCCCUCGGUUCCUUGCCUGGUGGGCGUCUUUCUGGGACAGUUCACAACAAUGUACCAUGUUCAUCAGAGCAUGUGAGCAAGAGAAAAGCCAUGACCAGGGCCACAGUGUCAUUACUGAGUCUCAGAAGUCACUUCACCCCUGCUAGUAGGAGUGAGUCAGAAAGUCCGUCCCACCACUCCAGGAAUGAGGGUCACACAUAGACAUGAACCAGGGUGGAGGGCCAAGCCCAUUCCAGAGGCUAGCCCUGAUGGGCAGAAAGAAGCUAAUUACACCACAGGGCUGGAAGGAUGGCAGCGAGGUUAGAGUUUUAGGAGGAGGGUUUGAGGAGGGUCCCCACUGAGUGUGACCCUGGCCAGCUGAUACUGGGUACCGUGAGGCUGUUUCUAGGAAUGUGAGGAGAACACCUGGAAACAGGAACUAAUUACUCUUUCUGAAACCAUUCGGUGCUGCCUGGGGUACCAGGAGAGCCACCAGUAGUAACAGCAACAGGGUGUCGGCUUGAGCUUCUAUGAUGGCUUGAAUCACAUCUCAUCAGAGUUCACGUGAAGUGCCUUAGGAUGUGACAACAUUUGGAAACAGUCAAUGCCGAUACGGUUAGCUAAGAGGUGGAUUUGGGAGGACCCAAUCCAAUACAGUGGGUGUCUUUCCAUAAAGGAAAAACUUGGACAGAAACACACAUGGAGAGAAGGACAUGGGAACAGGAAGUCAGAGAUCAGGGUGGCAUUUCUACCAGCCCAGGAUGCCAAGGGUUUCCAGCAGCCCUUGAGAAGCAAGGAAAGAGGUUUAGGACAGAUUCUGUUCCUCAUUCCUCUGAAGAAACAACCCUUGGGACACUUUGAUCUUGGAUUUCCAGUCUCCAGAAUUGAGACAAUAGAGUUCUGUAGUUAAAGCCCCCCACCAGCCUGUGGUACAUAGUUGCCCCUUAUCCAUGAUUUUGCUUUCCGUGAGUUCUCAUAACCAUGUCAACCAUGGUCUGAACAAUCCAGAAACAGGGUUUGUAAGUUUUGAAUAACUUUGAGUACAGUAUACUAUUAAAAUUGUUCUAUUUUAUUGUUAUUGUUAACCUUGUAAUCUUAUUGUGCCUCGUUUAUAAAUUAAACUUUAUCAUAGGUAGGGUAUAUAUUUUUAAAAAAAACCCAAACCUACACAGGGUUUGGUACUGUCCAUGGUUUCGAGCAUCCUUGGGGCUUUGAUGGCAUUCCAUAUGGUAAUGGGGGCGGGGAGGCUACUGCACAUUGCUAUGCUCUGGGAAGCUAACACAGCCUCCUUCAGCCUUGAGGUCAUCUCUGGAACCUUUUGUCUUACAGAACUACCAUGGAUGCUGGCUGUAGAGUCUCAGUCCAGCACGGCCAUGUAGGACUUAGAAGGGUGGGUGGACACUGAGCCAGGGUUGUGUGAAGGCCAGCACAUGUGUCUUUGGGGAAGGUCUUUGGUGACCUCCUCCACCCCCUCCACACAGGCCCUGUUGGGUCUCCACCUUUCUCUAUGUCCAUUUAGUCCCAUGCACCACCUUCUCUCAGGCACUUACCAUAUCUCUUUGGUUGAUUAUCUCCUCCUCAAGGCCAUGUAUGAGCCUCAUGAGGGCAGGUGCUCUCACUGUCUCCAAUGUUAAGUGUGGUUUUUAGCACACAGAAGGUGGUUAGUUAAUGGUCUUUGCAUUGAAUGAACAAAUGCUGGUAGAAGCAGAGAAGGAGAUGCUCCAAGACAGGGAGGUUGGGUUGAACCAGUUUGAACAGCCGUCACAUCAUAUAUGUGUCUCAUUCAGUCCUGAAACUAACCCUGCAUGCAUGUACUUUUAUGUUCAUUUUGCUUAUGAGAAAACUGGAGAUCAAAGAGAGAAAAUGACUUGCCCAAAGUCAUCUAGAUGACAAGUGGCAGAGCCUGGACUCAACCUCCUUUCAACUAUCUAGUCUCCUUUUCUCUCACAGUUUUAGAGCCAUCAUGCAUUAAGAACUUACAUAUCCCAGGAACUGGGUUGGAUGCUAUCAGCAUGUCCCUGUCUCUGUUCACAUUUUUAUUAGCUGUAUCAUCAUUUGACCUUGUCAUAGAGCACACAGUGCUGGCACAGAGCUGGAAACCAAAUGGAACAUUCCACCCAGAUCCCACUCCACUGUGUAGCCAGACAGCUGAAAUCCAACCAACGUGCCUCCACUAUGAGUAUUAAUAGAUUGUUGAUAGAUCUGAUGGUUUCUUUAAUUGAUGGCUUCUGCCAUUAUUAAGGAAGAGACUUUUUAUAAGGCUCACAACAAUUAUUAAUCUUGGAAACAAGAGUGUAGAUACAAAUGUUAUUUGUCCUUUUGCCAAGAUAAAUAAGCACAUAUGCUUUUAGUCAAAGUUGUAAGAAUUUCUUUAGCAAAUAUUUCAGGACCUCUUGCAUUUCUGAUCCAGAAAAACUGUAAGCCUAUAAAUGUUUGUGGUUUUUAUAUGCUUUGUUUGGGAUAAUUUUUCAAAUACUAGCAUUCACGGGUAUGUUUGGCAAAACCAAAUAGACAAAGGGAAAACCAUGUGUUCAAGAGCAGAUGCUUUUCUUCCCUAAACCCCAAGAUGAAGAGGAGGAAAUGGAGUCUUUCAGGGGUGCUAGGCACUGGUGUUUUGUUACCAAACCAUGCCUGUCAUGCCUUCUCACAGUACGCCCUUCCUAGAGACAAAGCAUUUUGCAAAAAAGAAAUAACUUUCUCACAAGGUUGCCAAGUGUGAAGAUGGGAGUCUCAGAUGUCAAAUCUGCCUCCCUGAGGCUAGGCUUGAGGGUCAUUUAUGGGAUGAAGGAGCAGGUGGCAGUGAUUGGCGGUGAAGCAGUCAGUGGUCUGUGCAUGCACAGUCUACACUGGUGGCUCUUCAUGAGUCAUAUUUUUGGAACAGGGUGGUGUCAGCUUGAGGUGAAGGUGAAGUUUUUAGGCUUCUGACAUCAAAGUCACCUGUUAGACACUUUCAGGUCCAAAUGAAGAGUCAAUGGUUUUGACAGAGGUGUCCUUCACAUCCCUGGUAAGUGACCUACUUAUGGUUAAGACUCACACACUGGAGAGUCUUAACACAUUGCUCAGCUGGUGGACAUCCCAAAGGAGUGAUUUUUAAGUGAACUAAAAGCUAGUAACUCAAAGCAUAUAAAACUGGAGGGUUUAUUUGAGGUUUUCUUGGAGCCUCUGUGUGGUCUUUCAUCUGCUGUGUCCCAAAAGGAGAUGGGAGAGAAUCCCCUCCUUCCCUUGUAUGGGGUGGAGAAGCGGAGGGUGGUGGAGGCCUUUGUGAACACAGCAUAUUCCUAGACUUGCUCAAAACCAAAUCUCUGUGAUGAAGGAAGUAAAAUGCUUUGACUCUAAGACACUCAGACUCCCAUGGUCAAUAUCACUAAGGAGGAUAUUGCACACUGAAUAAAACCGACCAUGCAGGGGAUUCAGUUUCAUUUUGUUGCAUAUGGAUGGAAGGAGACCCUCAUUGUUAUACAAAAUUACAUAUAAGAGGUUGUGAGGGGAAUGGGAAAAUAAACAAGGAGAGAAAUGAAUUACAGUAGAUGGGGUAGAGAGAGAAGAUGGGAGGGGAGGGGAGGGGGGAUAGUUGAGGAUAGGAAAGGUAGCAGAAUACAACAGUUACUAAUAUGGCAUUAUGUAAAAAUGUGGAUGUAUAACCGAUGUGAUUCUGCAAUCUGUAUUUGGGGUAAAAAUGGGAGUUCAUAACCCACUUGAAUCUAAUGUAUGAAAUAUGAUAUGUCAAGAGCUUUGUAAUGUUUUGAACAACCAAUAAGAAAAAAAACAGACCAUGCUUCAACCUUCAUGUGAUAAUACUGAUCACUUAAAAAGUAUUGAGGGAUACAUACUUUUAAAAUAUUUUACUGUGCAUUAUUUGAUCCAGGAUGCUUGAAAAAGCAUAAAUAGGGAUUCCUAAGUAAGUCUUUAAGGCACAGAACCUAUGAUAAAUAUCUUGUAAUGGGGACAAGAUACCAAGUCACUUACAUCAAAUAUAUUUGAUUAAAAAUACUUUGAUUAAACUAAAAAUAAAUGUUGAUAAAUGAAUUUGGAACAUUGUAUGAUGUGUUUUUAUUUUAUUUUUAAAUGUUUGGUUGUUUGGGUUGAACUCAGGGGUGUUUUACCUCUGCACUAUAUCCUUGGUAUAUAGCUGUCNCAGGAGGAUUGCAAGUUCAAAGCCAUCCUUCGCAAAGGUGAGGUGCUAAGCAACUCAGUGAGACCCUGCCUCUAAAUAAAAUACAAAAAUAGGGCUGGGGAUGUGGCCCAGUGGUCAAGUGCCCCUGAGUUCAAUCCUUGGUAUCCCCUGAAUAAGACCUUCUCAUUGUAUUGGCACCAAGAACAAGGACCAAACUUUCAGUAUCAUGAUGACCAAUGAUGCUGAGCUUCUUUUCAUGUGCUAUUGGCUAUUUCUAUACAUUCUUUGGAGAAAUGACUGCUUAAAUCAUUUGCCUAUUUUCUUUUUUUUAACAUUUUUUAUAUUUUAGUUGUCAGUGGACCUUUAUUUGUGCCUCACACAUGCUAGGCAAUGCUCUGCCACUGAGCCAUUGCCCAGCCCCAGGCCUGUUUUCUAAUUGAAAUUUUUUCUUGUUUGUUUUUGUGUUAUAUAAGAUCUUUAAGUCUUCUAAGAUAAAAACAUUUAUAAAAUUAGGCACUGAAAAUAUUUUUUCUCAUUCUAUGGUUUGUUUUUUCAUUUUCUUCAAGGGACACCCCAGAGAGAGAAGAAGGGGCCACAGGGAAAAUGAACCCAUGCCAGGGCACAUCCCCAGUGACCCACUUCUUCCAGCCAUGUUCUACCUGGCUCCAGUUACCCCCUGGUCAGUCCAUUCAAACUAGGAUUGACCAGUCAGUUUUCAGCUCUCACAAUCCAGUCACUACAACUCUGAGAAUUCCUGCAUUAACUCAGAAGAUUUUGGGGGGGACACCUUAUAUCCAAACCAUAAUAGUGAUAUUUCUAUUUUCUUUAUUCCUUCUUUAUUUAUUAAUUGGAAUUCUUCUGAAAGGGAGAGUUAUAACUUCAUUAUGUUAUUUUGUUAUAUCACCAUAGACUCAAGGGCAUUUAUUUUACUCUCUGGGUUACAAAUCAAUUCUAUCAUUGUUUCAUUGCUUUAAUUGUUCCAAACUCUUUCAGUUUGAGUUCUAGCCUUUAAACAUACCCUUUUUAAUAUAUAUAUAUCUUCCUUACUUUGGGAAUACCAAAAUCAGUUUGUAUUUUACCUGAUUCAGAUCCAAGGACGCAGGGUGUGGGAACCAGAUGUACUCAUCGCUGCUGGAGCAUCUCUCCUGUCAGUUGUCAGUGAUAAGAAAUAUAUCUGUGUUUACUCCCUGUGUAUGUACACACACACACACAUCUGGAUGUAUAACUGUUUUAAGCACCAUAGGGUUCAUUCUAGUCUUCCCUCUUUUCUUACUGGUAGCUUCCCUCUAUAACAGUGACAAGUCUGGCUCUGACUCUCUACAGUCAAUUUGCUCAACUCUGGGACACAUCUAAAACAGUUUUGAAAUUCCUGACCUAUGACCCCGUGAGAAACAAAUUUACUAACAGAGUACUGCUUUAAUAUAGUUCUUUUUGCAAACAUUAGCAAUUUUUUGUUUUCCAAUUUAAUUAGGUCAGUUACUUACAUAUUCAUUCCAUUCACCUUGAUUAUGUGAUUCAUUUGAAAUAUAACUAUGCUUGUUUGUCACCAUCUAAAUGGUAUUUUGCAUUGCCCCACAGCCUGACCAGCACUUUAAAAUUUGCAUUUAUGAAGUUUGCUCUUUGUCAUGCACAGUUCUGUGGGUUUUGAUAAAUGUGUAUUCGUCUGCUCAGAUGUUAUAGUACAAUACCACACACACUGGGUAGGUUAAAUAACAGAAAUUUGUUUUGUCACAACCCCAGGGUCCAGAAGUCCAGUAUCAAUAUGCCAUCAGGGUUGGUUUCUGGUGAGGACCCUCAUCCUGGUUUAAGGAUAACCAGUUGCCUUCUCUCAGUUUCCAUGUGUUCAAUACACAUGGAGAGAGCAUUCUGGUGAUUCUUCCUCUUCUUAUGAGAACACUAGUUCUAUAGGAUUAGGGUCCCCCCCUCAUAACCUCAUUUAAUGUCAAUUACCUUAUAGAUCCUAUCUCCAAAUACACUCACACUAGAAGUUGGGGCUUCAACAUAUGAAUUGUGGGGGACACAUUUCAGUCCAUAGCAAAAUUAUGGAGUCCUCUCCUCACACUGAAGUGCCAUGCAGAAAAGUUCCAGAAACCCCAGAAUUCCCUCCUGCUGCCCCUUCAUAGUUAACC
rnacentral:lncRNA from 1 species